rnacentral:lncRNA from 1 species
CGGGGGGAACUAAUAGGCAACGGGGCGGGGGGCGGGGGAGAGGUCCCCCGCCCCAACCCCGCCCCGUUGCCAUCCCUAGCUGAUAUUAGUGGAUAUUUUAGAACGAUCCGAUUGAUCCAAUUAGUUAAUCCCUAAUUCAGAGCUUAGUCGAGUUGCUACUUGGUCCAAAUUUAACAAUAUUGGUUGGAAAUGCUGCAACGAGUGCAUUCACUGACUUGAUUGUUAAUACAACUGGUGACGAGCCGUGUGCUGGUAUGCAUGUAGAUUGGGUCAAAUGAAAAAGUUAUAACCACGGAUGUUGCUGCGGUAUGUUUACAUGUCAAAACAGAGGUGUGGAAAGUUAAGGGAAAAGACAUUCAAGCAUUUUGGGCCACAAACGCUAGGGGAAGUGUGUUGGGCGGGCACGUGGAAAGGGCUUUUGUGACGUGCAACCGGAAGAUCUAUUGGGCGUUGAAGGGGACUCCAGCCGCGCAUGUGAAAUGUGGAGGGGCCGAAAUUAAGCAACCGGGAAAGUGAGGGUUUGUACGCGAAAGUACGGCAGGGAAAAAAGGCGCGAAGCUUACUGGAUAAGCUAAAGAGUGUAGGCGUAUUAGAAAGGAAGAAGCGCCAAAACCGGAGCAGGAGGAAUAGCAGAAGAUAGGGAUUUGUUAUGGAGCUGGCGGCGGAAAUAGAUGCUUCGGAUAUGCAGUGGGACAGUGAAGGAGAAAGCGAAAAUGUAGUAUCGCCGAUGCAUGAGAGUGGAACACCUUCGAAUUUUAAAAGUUGCAGCAGUGAAAGGAAGGCCAUUCGUCGGACGGCGGAAACAAUGGUAGUAUCGCUGAUGCAUGAGAGUGGAACACCUUCGAAUUAUAAAAGUUGCAGCAGUGAAAGGAAGGCCAUUCGUCGGACGGCGGAAACAAUGGUAAGCCACUCAACUCAUUCCGUGAAGAAUAUGGUGGAUUGGAUCUCGGAUGAGCAGCAGCAGGCUGUUAGAGAGUUUGGAUUCGGGUCAACUUUGAAUGUGAAGGGAGUAGAGGUUGACGAAGAGAUGUUGAAGUGGCAGGUGGAUAACUUUGAUGUAGAUCGGAGGACACUGAACGUUCAUGGGUACUGUCUACAGGUGACAGCCGAGGAUGUGGAAUGUGUACUUGGCUUGAGCAGCCGUGGGAAAGAUAUUGAAAGCGAAAAGCGAAGGCAAGAGAUGGAUACAGAGUUGGAAAGAGAAUUGAAUAUCAGAAUAAAUAGCGGUGAAAUUGUAGUGGAGGAAUUGAAACACAGUAUAUGUAAUUUGCAUAACAAAGGCUUAGAAUUCAAAGUGAAGUUCGUACUGUUUGUUGUUGGUAGGUUGUUAGCACCAAGUUUGGAUGACACAGUGAGCCGGGCUCUGGUGGCUGUAGUGGCUACAGAGGAGAAUAUGAAAAAUUUGAAUUGGUCGAAAUUCAUACUUGACAAUUUGGUGAAGAGCAUCCGUGAUAGAGACGGCAACGGAAUAGAGGGAUGUGCACUUUUCUUGAUGGUAUAAAAAAGACGCACCAUUUUGUAUUAGAGAUAGGAAUUGUUGGAAUAAUGAAAUUAAACUUUGAUAGAAAAGACCCGUAAAUGAUGGUAGGCAUUUUUGUCCGUGCAGAUUUACUAUCUGGAACGAUUCUAUAUCGAGGGUGAGGACGAGUUUCUCAAGUUCCAGCCGAGAGGGCCGAUGCUAAGAUUUUGGGAAAGGUACGAGAUUAAUGAAAGCGUGCGAAUAUUGAGAAGGAAUCACAUAUUUGAGGGGGAACAGGUAAUGUAAAAUCCUUUCGUGUGAAUUGUUGUUGAAAUUGCAAUCUGCAUUUUGUGACGUUACUAGUAGUACAAAAUUGAAGGCUUGUAGUGACAAAGCAAUGUGCAGUUUUACAAUAACAUAAACUGUAGAGAAGACAUUGAUAGAAGACUGAUUGAAAUUGAAUGUGGUAAUAAAGAUGUGAAGGAUAGUAUUGGUAGAAUGGAUGCAAUGAUUGAAUGUCGUUUUAAAAGGCUGAGGAGCACGUAUGAAAGUGGAAGGGUGUGCAAAACAAACCGGGCAGUUGGUGUGGAGGGUGGGCAGAAGGACGAUUGGCGCGGUAAUGUUAAAAGAGGGAGUGAGUUACAUAAAUUUAGUCCUACAACACCAGAUGUUAGGUCCAAAAGCAGAAGUGAAAAUGAUAGAGUCACUACGAAUAGUACUGUAAUGGUGAAAAGAGUGCAUCGAAAAUUACAAAAUGGAGGAGUAGAAAGAGACUAAGGAUGGACAAUACGGAGAAGCCUGUGGGAGAAGACAAACAAAACAGAAGGCAAGGUAAAAGAAUAAAGGUAUGCAUCGGUUUGUGCCAAGGUAUUUCUAACAUUAGAAAAGUAAAGUAUAAAUUAUAGUUUUAUGUACAGAUGGAUAGCAGUGUGAUGAACAAGUGUCAAACGAAGAUCGUUGCUUUAUUGGCAAAGGUGAGUAUUCCAACGUUCCAGAAUUACUAAAGUAUGGAAAAUUAUAGACAAUGAAAGAUGACAUAUUUUUGUGGUAGCAGGAAACGAGGCUGGCAUCUAUCGGGGAAAAAUUGAGUGAGGGACGAGCAAAAAUACUGAAGUUCUUGUUUGACACUCAGCUGUCGCAAGGGUAUGUACUGGAUCAUGGAUUUGUUAAAUCAACAGUUCUAUUUUGUUUUAUCCUUUAUUUGAAAUUGCAAUGGGAAAGGGGACAGAAAAGUAUUUGCAAUUAUAAGGUUGACUAAAUAUGUAGUAUGAUUAUCCCCAUAGGGGAGAGGGCAUAGGAACGAAAAUCUUCGAAGCAGUUAAAAUUGGUUUACAAGUGAGCAUAAACCUUACAAUUUGUGUGCUGUCAAUCAUGCCACCUUAUAUAAAAAGCAAGGGUAGGUAACAUGGUUGCAUAUAGAAUAAAAGGUGAGUAUUCCAGAAGUUUGAGAAUGGAAGCACAAUGAUAACUCAAUGACCCUUAUGGUGAGUACAUAACCGCCUUAGGCUAACUCAAUGACCCUAAGGAUCGAUUGGGUCAUUGAAACCGUGAUUGCUGGUUGUAUUAGUGAGGAAGAGCGAAUCUACUCUGGCCGUUUUAACUCGAGUCAUUGAAAAUGAUGAUAUCAAGUUUGUAGAUUAUGAAACCGUAAUACACAUAGGGAAAAGAUUAAUGUACGCUGUUGUAAUGACAGGGAAGUACUGGUGUCAAUUAAGGGGCAGACAGCAAGUCAGGAUGCAAUGGGGUCCUUGCUUCCUGAAAAACCCAUGGCAUGUGAUGUGAGUAAAUCGAGGGAUUGAAAUUGGGUGGUGUUGUGUGGAUUGUUUCACGGAGGACGAAGUGAUGUGACUUGAGUUUGGUGCAGAUAAUCAAUUGCUAUUGUGCGAUGAAAACAGCAAGGCAGCAAAGGCGUCCUGACGAUCAGUCAAUGCGAUGGUGGUUCAUGCCAACUUGGUUUUAGGUACAAAUGUUCGGCCAAAGUUGGGGGGUGUGAGUACGUACAUUCAUAUUAAAAUGUCAUAUUUUACUGUCGUGUUGUAGCAAGAGAUUUUGGAGUUCAACAAAUCAGCAGACAAGCUGUACUGUACAUAUCUACAGGAAUGUAAAGUAGGAGGUAAUAUAAAAAAGUGUGAGAAGGUACGAGCAGCUGCCCUGUUAUGUAGCAUAAUGGAAUAGAUACAGAUUGCCAUGAUGAUGACUAACUAACCGCUGCUAUGCUUCAGAUAUUCGUGCCAAUGUGGCACGAUGAGCAUUGGUAUAUGUGUGUGGUGGACAUGGGAAGCGAAGAAGUAUUAAUUUAUGAUUCAAUGAGAGGAAACGAGCAAACGGAUAUGAAUAGGCGCAACUCCGUGGAGACAGUGGUAAACUAAGUUGGUUUGUCAAACAUUUCAUGAACACGACCAUCACCUUUACAAUUGGUGGCAGUAAACUUAAAAUUGCAUAUGUUUUUCUUGUAUGGCCGUUAGAUUGAAAGGUUGGAAGCAGUGCUGACUUAUGGUUUGGAGGGGCAGUAUUCGUCAUGCCUUUGGUUGUACAAAAUAAAAGCUGCAGCCACAUGUCCACAGCAACGGAAUGCGUAAGUUGCAUGUGCAUAGGUUUGGAAGUUUUUUCCAUAGUUCAGCAACGGUUGUCUAAAUAUGUGGUUAUGGUUUGUAAUACAGGUGGGAUUGUGGGUUAUUCAUGGUGAAGUACAUGGAUAUGUUAUCAAGUGGAAUUGGAAGCUGGAAAUGGAAUCAGGUAAGGAAAAAGGAAUGGCGUCGUAUGCUGUAACAGUAAGUGUGUAUGCUUGCAUUGGUUGCGAACGAUGGAGAUAGUAACAAAUUUAUCGGUGCAGUACAAUUCGGAGCAGGAGCGGCGCAAAGUAGCACUGUCUUUGGUUCUGGAUGAUGCCAACGUUGUCCGUCAUCAAAUUAUGCGAAAAGCGAACACGCACAGGAGGUUGGAGAUGAAUAAAGUUGAGGUUCGAUGAAGGUGGCAAGAUAGAGAGACAAAGUAGCGGCAUUUUGUGGAAAGGGCCAUGUUUUAGGCGCUGUCAUAGUCGGAUGGACGUCGUCGUUGCCUAAAAUGUAGAAGACGGAGACAGAGAGUCCAAAAGCUGCCAUAGUAAGGCAAGCGGUUGGUGUGUAUCUAUGAGUUUCAUUAGAGGAAGGGAAAGCAAAGUUCAACCGAGCAAACUCGCCGGUGGUGGUGCGGGGAGACCUUGCCAUGGGGAUAACGAGUACCACAAUCUUCAUGUGGUCAAGAGUUAAGAGAAGAUUUGUGGUUGGUUAUGACUAGCGUACAGUGAUCCAUGGUAUGCAGUCAUUAGAAAUAAAUGAAAAAAGAUUGAAAUAUUUGAUUUGUGGUAAUUAAAUUUAUGUAUCGCGAGAGUUUAUGAAUUAGGUGUGUUGACGUAUCCGAAACAAUUUGUCUUAACACGGAGUUUUAACCUGCAAUAGGUUAGUUUCUUGCUUUGCAUUCUAUGCUAACGGGUAAAUGGCACUCAAGUAUAAUAUCGAUCCGAUUUUAUCGAACAAAUAAAGUGGCCAUACAUAGCUGGUGUUUUAUUGCAAACCGUGUUCAAUUAAAUUUUAUCCGAUAAGUGAAUUAGUAAGUAUGGGAUAUUGGUACCCUGUGUCAUAGUGGAGGAAAUCGAUAAAGAUCCGGUGUUUUAUUGGAAAAGGGGUUUUACUAGAGAACUGAUUGAUUUUAAUUUUAUUCGAUAAAAAAAUUGUUUUAUGGAAAAGGGUACUCUGUUGUUAUAUUGGAGAAAAGUCAUAAACAGCUGGGGUUUUAUUGAAAAACGAGUUAUCAUAUAUUUUAUCCGAUAAAUAAAUCUAUUAAUGAAAAAAUGGGUGCUUUGUUCUUAUAAUGGAGGAAGGUCAUAAAGAGCUGGUCUUUUAUGGGAAAGUGAUACAUUACGGAAGUGACCGCGAUUUGGUUUAUGAAAUUAUCCCAAAAAAAUUAGAAUUAGUUGAUUUAUUUAUAUAAAAAAUUAUAAUAUAUGUUUUAGUAGAGAACUGAUUGAUUUUAAUUGUAUUCGAUAAAUAAAUUGUAUUAUGGAAAAGGGUACUGUGUUGUUAUAUUGGAGAAAAGUCAUAAAAAGCUGGAAUUUUAUUGGAAAACGAGUUAUCACAUAUUUUAUCCGAUAAAUAAAUCUAUUAAUGAAAAAAUGGGUGUUUUGUUCCUAUAAUGGAGAAAGGUCACAAAGAGCUGGUCUUUUAUGAGAAAGUGAUACAUUACGGAAGUGACCUCGAUUUGGUUUAUGAAAUUAUCCCAAAAAAAUUAGAAUUAGGUUAUUUAUUUAUAUAAAUAAUUAUAAUAUAUUUUUGAGUAGAGAACUGAUUGAUUUUAAUUGUAUUCGAUAAAUAAAUUGUUUUCUGAAAAAGGGUACUCUGUUGUUAUAUUGGAGAAAAGCCAUAAAAAGUUAGAAUUUUAUUGGAAAACGAAUUAUUAUAUAUUUUAUCCGAUAAAUAAAUCUAUUAAUGAAAAAAUGGGUGCUUUGUUCUUAUAAUGGAGGAAGGUCAUAAAGAUCUGGUCUUUUAUGGGAAAGUGAUACAUUACGGAAGGGACCGCGAUUUGAUUUAUGAAAUUAGAAUUAGGUUAUUUAUUUAUAUAAAUAAUUAUAAUAUAUUUUUUAGUAGAGAACUGGUUGAUUUUAAUUGUAUUCGAUAAAUAAAUUGUUUUAUGGAAAAGGGUACUCUGUUGUUAUAUUGGAGAAAAGCCAUAAAAAAUUGGAAUUUUAUUGGAAAACGAGCUAUCAUAUAUUUUAUUCGAUAAAUAAAUCUAUUAAUGAAAAAAUGGGUGCUUUGUUCUUAUAAUGGAGAAAGAUCAUAAAGAGCUGGUCUUUUAUGGGAAAGUGAUACAUUACGGAAGGGACCGCGAUUUGAUUUAUGAAAUUAUCCCAAAAAAAUUAGAAUUAGGUUAUUUAUUUAUAUAAAUAAUUAUAAUAUAUUUUUUAGUAGAGAACUGAUUGAUUUUAAUUGUAUUCGAUAAAUAAAUUGUUUUGUGGAAAAGGGUACUCUGUUGUUAUAUUGGAGAAAAGCCAUAAAAAGUUGGGGUUUUAUUGAAAAACGAGUUAUCAUAUAUUUUAUCCGAUAAAUAAAUCUAUUAAUGGAAAAUUGGGUGCUUGUUCUUAUAAUGGAUGAAAUUCAUAAAGAGCUGGUCUUUUAUGGGAAAGUGAUACAUUACGGAUGGGACCGUGAUUUGGUUUAUGAAAUUAUCCCAAAAAAAUUAGAAUUAGGUUAUUUAUUUAUGUAAAUAAUUAUAAUAUAUUUUUAGUAGAGAACUGAUUGAUUUUAAUUGUAUUUGAUAAAUAAAUUAUUUUGUGGAAAAGGGUACUCUGUUGUUAUAUUGGAGAAAAGCCAUAAAAAGUUGGGGUUUUAUUGAAAAACGAGUUAUCAUAUAUUUUAUCCGAUAAAUAAAUCUAUUAAUGAAAAAUUGGGUGCUUGUUCUUAUAAUGGAUGAAGUUCAUAAAGAACUGGUCUUUUAUGGGAAAGUGAUACAUUACGGAUGGGACCGCGAUUUGGUUUAUGAAAUUAUCCCAAAAAAAUUAGAAUUAGGUUAUUUAUUUAUGUAAAUAAUUAUAAUAUAUUUUUAGUAGAGAACUGAUUGAUUUUAAUUGUAUUUGAUAAAUAAAUUAUUUUAUGGAAACGGGUACUCUGUUGUUAUAUUAGAGAAAAUUCAUAAACAGUUGGGGUUUUAUUGGAAAACGAGUUAUUAUAUAUUUUAUCCGAUAAAUAAAUCUAUUAAUAGAAAAAUGGGUGCUUUGUUCUUAUAAUGGAGGAAUGUCAUAAAGAGUUGGUCUUUUAUGGGAAAGUGAUACAUUAUGGAAGCGACCGCGAUUUGGUUUAUGAAAUUAUCCCAAAAAAAUUAGAAUUAGGUUAUUUAUUUAUAUAAAUAAUUAUAAUAUAUUUUUAUUUAAUACACUGUGUAAUUGUACUAAUAUUUUUUAUAAUUAUAGAGAAUAUUAUAUAUUAAUAAGUAUAAUUUUUAGUAUAUAUUACUAUAUUUGUAAUAACAAAUAUAAGUAUAAUUAUAUAAUAUAUUAUUACUACAUACACAUAUAUAUUUGCAUGAUGGGAAACAUCUGUGCCUGCGUCAUGUGCAUCCCUUCAAUAACGUAUUCCAAUUUGUACAACGAAUGCAUCAAAACAGGCCCACAAAUGUAUUGUAAGUUCUCCAAGCCUGUCAGCAGCAUAGACAUCCUCAUUCAAAAGUGAGGCAAUCUUAAGCUCCUAGUCUAGCAGCUAAUUUUCCCUAUCGAAUGACAUAUUCAACCAGGGGUUAGCUUAAGGAAUACAUUACUCAUACAGACUUCGUGUUGGGUUUGAAGAUUCCAUUGCUGGAUUUUAUUUUGGUACAGACACAAAGCAAGGAGCCUAGCUCAAUUAAUGUCAACCAUUGCUCCCUGACCAACUGUUAGUAUUGCACGUAUCCGAGAGGUUAACCAGACGGACAGAUUUAGUGAGUGACAUUUAGAUCCUCAAUGUUUAGACGAGAAGUUGCCAACAAACAAUUAGAAUGAAAACAGGCUAAACUUACUACAUGCCAAUGUGGUCUGAAGUAUAUGGCUGACGUAUCCUGCAUUUGACAGCAAUUACAGGCAUUAUCUGAUAAUUUUUCCUCAUGUGCAUUCGGGAACCUGCAUACAACAUACGUCAUUCCUAACUUCGACAUUUUUAGAAUUUGCAUAAAAAAACUCAGCGAUGGCCCUUUGCAAACAAAAACAGAAGUAAGGGAAGAAAAUAGUACCAACAUAUAUGAAUUAGACAAACCCAGUGUCUGACUAAAGCACAAAAGUUUUUAACUUGUGUGUCCCAUUAGAAGAUAGGUUCUCUCCUUCCAAUGGUUUGGAGAAGCUUCCGUACAGUGAAAUAAACUGAUCUUCCUCAUGCUUUCAAAUUUUCCUUUUUUUUCUUGGUAUGUGCAUAUGAUCAGACGCAAUUUUAGCUAUCAAAAAAAACAAAAUGAACUAUUGUCAACAUAGUCCUAAACAUGAAUGCAUCUAAAUACCUCCGGAGGAUAUAUGUUUGGGGCUUCCCGUUUGCACGUCACUUGCUUUGCUGUGUUCUGCAGUCCUAGCUUGCUGACAACAUUAACAUAAAAGUUUCAAUCCACACUGCCUUCUGUUACGGGUGAUUGUCCAAAACGGUUUCGCUUAAUGAAAUCUUGUACAUUAUCAGCACGGGCCAAUUUCUUCAGGUGUCCUACAAAAUCUCCUUCAGGAUCUGCAAAUAAGUUUUGUGUCAGGCCAAUCUUUCAACGGAUACUCUUCCGUAGCAAAAGCCACAUUUCAAAGCCAAAAAAACCAGGUCUUACCCAAAUAAUUGUCUUCUACAGUGUAACAUGUAUAAGAGGUGGGAAGAUGGCAUUGUACGGCUGAAGAACGAGUAAUAUGGAAACAGUUAGGCAUGAUCAUGUUAUUUGUGCAUACUGGAACAUAUACAACAUAACGAUCAGUUCCCGUAUGGUGCACUUACAGAAUUAAGGACGGAUUUAUACGGAGAAUCAUCGACUAAUAUCGUGUUAGAGCUGUUGUACGACUUAUAUUCUCCCCACACACGUUUUAGGUCCUUAAACAUCACCGUUUUGUCUGGAUUUUCCCUAAGCCUGGUUUGUGUCAUAGUGCACCGCGACUGAUCCUGCACAAUAUUGAUUGUUCCCGACUUUCAUUUAUCAGAAGUCUUACACACGGACUGACUACGCACAAUCGAAGUAAUUUGUGAAUGACAUCUCACCCAAACAAAUAACAGUCUCUGCUCCAAACGUUCAUUCAUUUUUUUGGAUAGACUGUCCAACACUGGUUGAAUGUUGUGGCUGCAGAAAACACAACUGUCUUGAAUUAAGGGAACAACAGAAAAACACUCUGAUACCUUAACUUUGAUGACCAAACAGCCACCUCAAAAUAUGACAGACAGACCUGCAAAAAUUCAUAGCAAUGUGGUCUGAAGUUAAAGUCCCGAUUUCUGGUCAUCCUUGUAAAUGCACUGCCCAAAAGCACUCCAUUCAAAUCAAGAAUAAGAAGCUUCUUCUUUGAAUCAUUGCUGGACGCAAGUUCUGGCGGAUUUUUUUCCACCCUUGUACCUUCGGCUGGGGAAAAAUUGAAGGCAUACAGCAUUUCAGCACAUGGAUUGUGCAUGUGAGAUCAAAUUUGAAUGUCAUAAUGAGAAAUCAAACAAGAGGAAUUGAAAAGUGUAAAGCAAAGUUCUGGGGUCGAGGAUUUAUUACAAUGUUGUGAGCAGCAGCCCUGCAAUAAUGGAAUAACUGGAGUAGAAAAGCAAUUUGUGAAUGCGAUGGUCACAAGGAGAUGCAUCGGAACAGAGGUACAUACACUUUUUAUGGUUUCCUUUAUACAAUGAUUAAUUUCGUACCAAUAAUUUGCCACAGCCCUAAAGAAUUUAAAAUUUAAUAUUGCCUUCAUAUGCAACGAACCAAUUACAGUAAAGGCGAGACAUAAUGUACCGUUCCCUGUUUCCUGAUGGCCCACAUACUUGGUAGCAUCAUCUUGCAAAUCUCCUCUGGUUACAGCCUCAUGUGCCUGUUUAUUUUCUAUUAGGAAAGCAACAUAAGCGAACGGGUCCGCAAGUUUACCUAAAACGAUCUCCCAGGCAAUAAAUUUUCUAGCAAUGACAACAUCAAACUGUACAUACAUUCAGAAACAAUGUCAGAUGCAAUAGAGUCAGCUUGCCACAAGGGGUUGUCCAUUUGUGCACUUACAAAUUGUGGCCAACACCCCUUUGCCCAAUAUUGCGCAAACUUCAAAGUGAAAACCCCGCAACUCGCCCCGUCUGUCUGUUUUAGUUUGUGUUUUACAAGAAUAAAUGUCCAGAGUUGAUUUUCGUGGAAAAUUUCCAUCAAAAUCCAUUCCUAAAAAAGGAAAUAAAUACAGCAAGUUUCGAAUGUUAGAAAUAUGUUACCUUCUUCGGAAAUGAAGCUAAGGUACGCUUUUGAAGUAUACCCACCACAGAUUGCAUCAAACCUUGGUAGAAGGUUUUUGUAAUUGUCCAUAGAAUCAACAAUGUACACUUGUUUGUCCUUGACAUGUGCAAUCAUGAGCAACCAAUGAUUUGAAUAAAUGAUUGGAAAAAAAAUAUCUGCAAUCGCAUACAACAAGCAAUGUUGAAUGGGUUAGAAGGUAAGGCAUGUUAGACUAAAUCCAAUUCCACUAACAUGCAGCUGCUACUCAUAUUGUAUAAGAAUGUUAAGGCGAGAAUGAUAGCUAAUGUUUACCUUUUCAGGAUUUGUCAUGGAGUCGUCAUUGCUUUGAUCAACGAAUAUAUUUUUGGUUGCGGGAGAUAUGCAUGGAUAGUCUAACACGCAUUUCAGCUACAACGAAGUGAUUGAGAAGCAAGUAUUAGGUCCACAUUUUGCAAGGCACAAUAGCACAUACAAUAAUUUUCGUUACGUACCCAAAACAUAGGAUUGAAGAAAACGAAUUGCUUAUAUUCUUUCUGGAGUAAGUGAAGGUACUGGGUCACAACCUUCACAGAAUGGAACAAAUUCAAACAUUCAACAUCGAGUGGACAAUUUUUAGCGAGAUUAGUGAACAAGGUAGGCCUGUGCAAUCGCAUAAAAAACUUACUUUGUCACUGAGACGUGUCUCCUGAAGCAUCACUUCCUCCAAUUCUUCUCUUGUAAUAUCAAAGAGAUGCUGCCUAUCUAGUGUACUGACACAGCUGUGAACAAUGAUUGACAUGAUUACAAUAAUCAGAUGAAAGCGAGAUCAGUGUUAGCCAAAGAAAAUACUGGUACUUUAACGUACAUCUGCGGGACGAGUUCUCUGACAUGAAAGCAUACGGCUUCUUUCAAUUCAUCAGGUGCUACGCCGAAAGCUUGUGGUACACACUGGACAAUAAAGGUAUUAGCAUAUAUAAAGGGGAUUACAGGAGAGCGCAAGAGCAUGUCUUACAUAUCGUAGAAAUGGCAAUUUCUCAUAUCCGCAGUCCUUCACUUCGAUGGCACCAACCCUUUGUAAAAUUUAUGUCACUUUAUCCGCAACCUAGUCAUACAAAUAUGGGGUUAUGCUCCUGUGUUGCCAUCGAGAAGAAGAAACAAAAAGGAGUAAAAUAACUUUGUCACAUACACUUGCCCAUUUUCUGGUUUGUUCAGACAGUAUGACAACAUCUUGAAGGUGUGCCUUUUCCCCCAUAACCGGCUGCACCUCGAUCCCAGCACACUUCCCCCCCUUAUCCAUCUUAUUUAUUUCUUCAACUUUUCUAUUCGCGUCCCCAGUCUGACCAAUGACAGCAUCAGAGGUAUAGGAUUUCUUCCACAUCCAACCACCAUCUUCAGCUUUGAAUACCAGUUUUUUGAAGUACGAUACUCUCAUUUUUUGGGCGUAAAAUCCUCUGUCAACAUGGUCAGCCAAGAAUGGCACAUUAAAGCGCCUAAAGCGCCUGGUCAGCAACAUACCAAAUGGGAGAUGUGUUCUCUUAUUCUCCCUGCUCUUAAUCUUCCUAAUCCUGUUGAGCAUUGUUGCAAUGAUCAAAUUGCCUAUGUUGACGGGUUGUUUGUGUAACAUAUGCCACAAUAUAACUCUUUCUAAUGCACUAAUGGGAGUGAUACUUCCGAUUUUGGGUAAAAUGUUAUGAGUUAUUAUCAGAUGUAACAGUUGUGGCAACACUUUCAUAUACGGCGCAUAAAACUUAAUUUUUUUCCCCGUGUUCAUAACUCUGUCACCAUUUUGCCUAAUCUCUCCAAAAAAUUCUAGGUCAUUGUACCUCUUCACAGCAACCUUAUCUACAUUCUUUGCGCUAAUCCGUUUAUAGUCAACAGUGUAUCCACUGUCAACCAACCCAAACUCUGAACACAAAACCUCAGUAGACACUGACACUUCUACAUUCCUAACGACUGAACGCAGAACUGACUUCUGCUUAUUUGCCCUACAGUUAGCAUAGAAUUCCCUAACCAUCGCAUCAUAGCACUUGUCAUUAUUUGCCAGCAAAUUUAACAAAUUUUGGGCAUUCAGAUAUUCCGUGAUAUCAAUACACUCACCAGCGAGAGCUUCUACGUAGACUCACAUGCCUGCAUACACUGGAAGACUCAUACCGGCCUCCAUGUUACUGCCUAUACUUGCUCCGGGAUGCGAUUCAAUUGUUGAGUACUUUGAGCAACAGAUGAACCGAACGCGAUAAAUCUAUUUCUUUUUUGGACCUUGCCGCGAACAACUGUUCGAAAAGUUCCAAAUUUCAGAAGGGGGGAAAGUUUUAACCGAAACUAUUCAGUGUGUUUACACAACAACGGAGCUUUUGAUGGGUUAAACAGGAGAAACGAUGAAAAGUUCAAGAAAUACAAGCUUUUUGUGGGAUAAUUGAUGAGGCGGGGACGGGCGUGGAGGGGAGGCAAACCCGAUUUACAUAUUCGAAAAUCAACCCGUUUCGGUAUUGGAGUGUGUAUUCGAAUCGGGUUAUGCGCAAGCCAAAUAACUUUGGCAGCAGAUUACAAUCUAUAUAAUAACAAAUGUAAUUAUGUUUUUAUAUAAUUUAUUAAUAUUAUAUACACAUAUAUUAUAAGGGAUACAUUCACAAACCUCUGCCGAAUUACCUUAUGAAAAAUUUGUUUACGAAAAAAGGGUACUCUUUUCUUAUAAUAAAGGAGAGCCAUAAAGAGCAUCACUUUUAUUGUAAAUCGAGUUUAUUUUUUAUAUUAUCCGAUAAAUAUAUUUAUUUAUGGAAAAAGGGAACUCUGUUAUUAUAAUGGAGGAAGGCCAUAAAGAGCUGGUUUUUUACGACAAAGUGAUACUUUACAGACUGGGACCACGAUUUGGAUUAUCAAAUUAUGCAAAGAAAAUUAUGUCAUUAUUAUAUAUAUUUAUGUUAUGCAUUGUAUAAUUAUACUAAUAUAUUAUAUCAGUAUAAAGUAUAUUAUAUAUUAAUUAAAUUUUUUUAUAAAUGUAUAUUAUAAAUACUGUUAUAAUAUAUAUUCACAUAUUACUAUUUAAAUAUAUUUAUAAAUGUAUUUUAUAUGUGCAUAUAAUUAUAAUAUAUAUGUGUAUAUAGUAUUAUAAUAUUAAAUAUUAGCAUAAUUAUAUAAUGCAUUAUAUGAAUAUGUAUAAUAAUUAAUUAAUUAAGUUGACAAAAUCAUUCAGCAAUUUUCUUGGGAUAAUUUCAUAAAUCAAAUCGUGGUCUAUUCAUCGUAGUAUCACAUUCUCUUAAAAGACAAGCUCUUUAUGACUUUCCUCCAUUAUAAGAACAGAGUACCCUUUUUUCCAUAAGUAAAAUUUUUUGCAGUAUCUAAUCUACCACCAUUUCGUAUGUACUUAGUAAACUUCUCACUUCACUACAGUAUCCGUCACGUAGAUCACUGCUGAGGAGUUCCCUCUUUACCUUCUAACUAUCAUCCUUUAUUCUUAUAUUUCAUACACGUUUCUCUACAACGGCGUUUUGUCGAGAAAAAGUCAGAACAUACAAGGGCCAAGAUAAGCUAUUUAUGUUUUCAUACCAAUAAUAUUAAGAGAGUAAGAAGUAGCGGUCAAUUCAGUUGGCAAACAUAAAAAAAACGUAACGAUGUGUUGUCAACAUUCAAUCUUACACACUAACGAUUAGGCAGGGCAGCAUAAAUUGCUCGAAUUUCUUCAUCGCAAGCGCAUCCUUCACAUGUACUCUCCUCCACUUCAUCGGCAUCCAUAGGCCAUGAAGAUGUUUUCGUCUCAUGUGUCAUGCCACAACAAAUGGGCGUUGGGUUUAAAAACACAGGAUUCUUGACCCAUAUCAUCCUCAGCAGCGCUCGCAAAUUCUGACGACAAAGAUUCACUCUGCCUUUAAGAAUUCUGGAUUUCAUGAGCAGUCUCAUACCUUUGUGCUUUAACUCGUCCCCACCAACAAAGAUGUAAAUUAUUCCCAACGCAUAUGCAGCAUCUGCAUGGCCUGAAUUAGCAGCUUCUUCCAGGUUUUCCAAUGCUGAGUCCUCGUGCAUAUCCGAAAAAAAAUCAACCUAAGCAGUUCCAAGGUUGAUAUUACAGUCUUGCGUAAUAUAUGAGUAACGAAAAAGUUUAAAAGUGCAGGCAGAACAGUGGCGGCGAGACAACAGUUAUUUAUUGGGGCCCAAAGCUGCAGUAACCUGUUGUAGGCCAAUCUUUUGGGUGAAGUGUGCUGACCAAAAUCACAUUGAAGUUCAAAUGAAAGAGAUGAUGUGAGCUUGGUCUAGAAAUUUUGUAACUCAAGUAUGCUUAUGGAAUGUUAGUUCAUUACUAUUCCAUUUAAAACAUUACCGAAUUUUCCCAUAACUAUUGCGUCUUACGUUCCAAAGCAACCCAACUUGCCGUAACGUUGACCAGGAGUUUUACUGUACAUGACUAAAUUGUUCAUUAACAACUUCAAAUGAAAUGGUAGAAUAUUCAAGGAACUGAGUUUUAUCGGCCCGAUGCUUACCACUCCUUUUCGAUACAAGGCUUCUGGAUUUUUGCUUUCUCUACACUUCUUCAAGAAUCUCGACACUUUGUGGUUUUUUUGCCACGGAACGAUUUCAAACUUGUCGAGUGACACCCGCUGGUAAAUGUUCUUUGUGUCCGAAACUUCGUAAAACAACUUACAGCUGCAAAAUAAUAUAAAUGAUCCAUUAAACUAAAACGAAAAGCACAGAAUGAAACAAGAAUACGCCUCUUCCUGUUUGUAUCAUCGAUAGCAGAACGAACCACAGUUUUGUCCGGAAAAGAUCAGUGGAUGAAGAAGACGCGACACGUACAAGCACCUCGGAAAGCACCUCGGUCGGAAGGGAGAGGAUGGAGGUUCCUGAACUCCCUUUUUGUGCGUUGGCCAUGACCGGUUAACUCCUUUUACUGGGCACAGUUGAGUGAAUCCCUGAAAGCCCCAAGAAUAGAGUAAACUUCAAACAAGAACUACUCCUCAUAAAAUUCAAAAAUGAUAGAUCAGGUGUAAUAUCCCACUGUUUCUGGACAUCCGACUAACCGUAGCGUUCGUUCGAACAGAAAUGGGAAAGUGGCGACUUCUCCUGCAAACGACGCAACAUUCUGUCGUCAAAAAACUGUCAUCCGUAACAUUUUUACAAACCAACCAACGUAUGUGUCAAUACGGUCAAUUCAUCCGAACCGUAACAAUACACCGAUAGCAAGGGAAGAUGAACAGUCAUUAACUACACGUACAUCGUAAAUUUACGGGCGUUCAUUGCAUAGCAAAGGAGGUUCCACAGUGAUAAACAGGGAGGGUUAGUUCGUACCUGUGGCCGUCAACCAACUCGUAGAAGCCGGUAGCACAGAUUUAACAGAUAGGUCGGGCGGGGUAAAUGGCAACCAAAAGGUCGCGUCCGAUGCAUAUCCAGACUGACUCCUCGUAUGCUGCCACGAACGGGGUAAAUGACAACCAAAAGGUCGCGUCCUUCAAACUUGUCCAAACUGACUCCUCGUAUGCUGCCACAUAUAUAAUUUAUUAAUAUUAUAUACACAUAUAUUAUAAGGGAUACCCUCAAAAACCUCCCCCGAAUUACCUUAUGGAAAAAUCAUGAAAUGGAUAAUUUAUGGACGAUAGCCUAAAACAGCUCGCGUUUUAUUCAACAACUUGUUUAUUUUCAUUUAAUUCGAAAAAUAAAUUUGUUUACGAAAAAAUGGGUACUCUUUUCUUAUAAUAAAGGAGAGCCAUAAUGAACAUCACUUUUAUUGUAAAUUGAGUUUAUUUUUUAUAUUAUCCGAUAAAUAUAUUUAUUUAUGAAAAAAAGGGUACUCUGUUAUUAUAAUGGAGGAAGGCCAUAAAGAGUUGGUCUUUUAAGACAAAGUGAUACUUUACAGACUGGGACCACGAUUUGGUAAGACUUUUCCAGCAGUAUUAUUUUUGUUAUAAAACUAAUAAAAUGAAAUACUAUAAUUGAAUUGAAAACAUACUACGUUAGCUUUUGGCUGCUAUUAAACCCUUUUUCCCUAUAAAAGUUUCGGUAUUUUUCCAAAACAAAAUCCGAACCUUAACGUACUACAAAACAUGCCACUUUAUUUUGAAGAGCUGGUAUAGUAUGCGUUGUUUGUUCAAAUUUUCCUAUACCGUCAUAUAUUUUAAUUUAUGUGAAAUAAAAACCAUACUAGUUCUGUCUUGGCCGGUAAUUGCUGCUAUAAAGAGCUAGUAUGUUGCCCAUAAAAAGUUGGUACAAAACAUACUAAUUUUCCUUUGACCGUUAUUUAACCAAUAUUUCCUAUAAAGAGCUGGUAUGUUUCCCAUAAAAAGAAGGUACAAUACCAGCCAUAUAGAGCUGGUAUGUCAUUCGCUAUUUCGUUUUCUUAUUUUAACUUUCACAUAUUCAAUUCAUGUUAAAUACAUAAGUUUAACUUUCAAAAAUUGGCGCCUAAUUACUUCUUCUAUUGCCGCCUAGCUUUAAUAAUUUUUUAAUCACCUUCAUUACAUAUUAAAUUUCUGUUAUUCUCGUUAAAUGUAAUUAAGUUUCUGCAAUAAGGCGGCUCCAGCAGUAUUAUUUUUGUUAUAAAACUAAUAAAAUAAAAUACUAUAAUUGAAUUGAAAACAUACUAGGUUAGCUUUUGGCCGCUACUAAACCCUUUUUCCCUAUAAAAGUUUCGGUAUGUUUCCAAAAAAAAAAAUCUGAAACUUAACGUACUACAAAACAUGCCACUUUAUUUUCAAGAGCUGGUAUAGUAUGCGUUGUUUGUUCAAAUUUUCCUAAACCGUCAUAUAAUUUAUGUUAUGUGAAAUAAAAACCAUACUAGUUCUGUCUUGGCCGGUAGUUGCUGCUAUAAAGAGCUAGUAUGUUGCCCAUAAAAAGUUGGUUCAAAACAUACUAGUUUUCCUUUGUCCGCUAUUUAACCAAUAUUUCCUAUAAAGAGCUGGUAUGUUUCCCAUAAAAAGAAGGUACAAUGUUUGCCAUAUAGAGCUGGUAUGUCAUGCGCUAUUUCGUUUUCUUAUUUUAACUUUCACAUAUUCAAUUUAUGUUAAAUACAUAAAUUUAACUUUCAAAAAUUGGCGCCAAAUUACUUAUUCUAUUGCCGCGUAGCAGUAAUAAUUUUUUAAUCACCUUCAUUAGAUAUUAAAUUUCUGUUAUUCUCGUUAAAUGUAAUUACCAACUAGCUUUUGGAAUUGUCAAUUAGUUUACGUGAGUAAAAUUUAAAAGCUGAUAUACUAAUAUUCGUUUUGCAUAGGUUUCCUCUAUUACAAGUUUCUUCCAUUUAAUUAGUUCUCUCUCCCUUCCAUUUAAUUAGUUUAAUUAUUUACUUAUUUUAUGUUAAAUAGAUAACCUACUAGUUCACUUAAAAUUUGUGAAACUCGGCAUUUUUCCUGGCACAUCUGGUGCUUACAAAUUUUUUUUUUGUACUUAUAACCCCUCAACUUUAGUAAUCAUUCUAAUAAUUUAUUCUUCUUUCAAUCUUCUACCAAUACAAGAACUAAAGGGGCAUCCAUGGAUUAAAAAUACCUUCUCACACAUGAAAAUAAUAUUGUAAUCAGAUUUGGACUGCGUUGUUACCAAAAACGCAAUAGAGUAAGGGAGGUCAGUGAAAUUUCUGUUAAACGGGAGGGGAUGCCAGUGAAAUUUAAAUCAACCUCAAGGGAGGAUAGUGAGAUUAUUCAUAUUUAUUGUAUUCGUUCCGAAACAUCAACUAUACAUGAUGGGAGACUCCAAGUACUCAACCAAGCAAUAACCUCAUCCACACCCAAAUAAGCAAACAAAUGUGUUGAUUACUGUUGGCGAAAACCUAUUUCCUCCAACCCCCAAAUUCUUGUUAAAGUCACUGUCCAUCGACACCGUGGGAGCGCCGUGUCCUUGUGUUUGGCAGAGAUAAAGUUAGGCGGUGUCGCGGAGGAGAUUAACCUUUGCGAAUGGCUUCUUCGUCUUCAGCCGGGUCGGUCAAUAGCACGGUCUGGCCUACAUUAUAUUGCAAUUGUGGUCGAAGCUGUGCAGUUUGGGUUGUCUGGAAGUCUGAAGCAAACAGGGGGCGCCACUACUAUCGCUACGCUAACGCCCUGGUAUGUUCUUCGGUAGAACUGUUUCUUCCACUAAUUUCAGAUUGCUAAGGUAGUUGUAUUGCAGAGGCCCUGUCGAACGUUCAUUUGCUGGUGUAAUGAGUUUGCACGAGCAACGGGGUUUGAAGUUCCCGAUCCCGCCCCGUCAAGUACCACCCCCGUUUUUCCUAAUACACCCGCGGCGGAGGUGUCUGCCAUCAUAGCUGAACUGAGAAGCAUGCAAACGAACGUAACCAUCCUUAACAUUGCUGUGGUAGUUGUGGUGGCUGUAGUCCUUGUUCUGAUUCUGAAACCGUGAAUUAAUGUGUUCGCGUUGAUUGCAUUCCCUCCAAACCCUCCCCCCCGUACAGUACUGGACUAUGGUGUCCGUAAGGAUAGAAUGGCCAUUAAGGCUCGUUUACAGCCUCUUGUAUUUGUGGUUGCCACUGCUGUGCUCCUUAUGCCUUUUGUCCCUCCGUUGUCAAUCGGUGGUUGCCGCAUAUGCCACUGAGUUCGCCCAACCGGCGGAGUGUUACUGUUUAAAUGGUGAUUUUGCGUUAUAUAAUAUAUUAGGUUUCCGUAUUUGGUUUAUUUUGACAUUGUGCAUUAUGUGUUUUUUCGGCAUGCCCUGUUCCCUUUGUCCCACGAAAUGUGUGUGCGGAUGAGGUACUAGGGAUCGUUGAUUGAUUGAUGAACGUAAUUAGUCACUGGGAUGGCAAUCGCUGCGUUGUUAAAUAUGAACUUCAGCUUAGCCAGGCAACUGAACAAGCUAAAGCUUACGUACAACAAAUUGGGAUGUGGCACAGCAUUGUUAGGUUAAAUUGGAAAAUUUGUGGAGUUGAACGACGAAACAAGUUCUUACUUAUAUAUUUGCAUCUAAGUACCAUCGCUUACAUAUCCGACAAACGGUGCAGUCCUAAUUUUCAGGCCUUGCAUAUUAUCAUCCCCUAACCCCUACCCUUCAUACGCUAACAAUCAAAACCAUGCAUGGUACGCCCAACAACAGCAAGGGCCAUGAACAAACAACCACCCACCAUCCAAAUAUGAUCUUCAACAAAAAAAUUUAAAACAUACCGCCGUACCUGCGAACCUUCACUCGAAACGCUCCACAAUAAGACCAAACAUAGGGUUUAAGGAGGCAACCGUGGUAACUACCCUCAGAAAGUUGCGGUAUUUUUUGCGCCGCACAGUGAGGACAAGGCUGUCAAUAGCAUCUCUGUCUUCAAACGUGAUCUCUACAGCUGAUGGAUUCCAGCAAAUGGUUGCGGUGUGAAGGUUGUCCGCAAUGGCAACGUUGUGUGUCAUACUAGCGGGAUACCCCUAGUCAGUCAGAAACCUUGUUACAGACCAGUCUUCAAAGUUGGCGCCGAAGAGGAUCCAGACGUCGGUAUGGAGCAGUGGUUUUAGACCCAGGAAAUGUGCAACAAAUUCCUCCUUGCCCGCAAACCAUGCAUUAUAGGUCAUGAUGUAAAACGCCUUCAGGUUCUGCAUAAGGGGGAGUGGACGGCGGAGCCACUUGACCAGCGGCCGGAAUACUUCCUCGUUUGCAAUGGGGUUGCGAACGGGGAUACAAGACACGAGCAUCGACUGCGGAAACUCCGCUCCGGGAAACCUAUCUAACCGAACCAGGGCUUCCUCAACUAUCCACUUCACUCCAAUGUGGUGAAGUGGUAAUACCUCAUCUUGAAAGUAGCCGACCAUGCCUCCGUUGUUGAGGACAUGUAUUUCAGGAAGUCGUCCAAGUGCCAUGAGUCAGUCUGCAAAAGGAUUUUGGUACGAGGAGACUGGUCGGUUCAGGGGUUAGAAAAUGCAGAACGAAGCUAUUCUUUCGUCUAGUUACGUCUUACAGGUGGUAAAGAACUGAAGCGGCUUGCAAUAGCGAAGGCUGUUGUGCGAAACCAAUGCGGAAGUGAAUGGGCAUGCAAGGAAGAAGUUUAGUUUUGGGAAGCUCUUAUAGGAGGAGAUGUGGAUGACGGACCUGGGUUUAAAUGGAGGAGCUUGCAGUGCAUCGACUGAGUGGUUAAGAGCAGUUUCACCUCUCUCAGCCUUCCUUUUGCGGACCACGGUUAACCAACCUAAGUUGGGUUAGUGCGAUAAUAAGUCACAGGUGGCACUGCAUCUAAAUUUUUAUUUGGGAAAAUUAGAAAAACCAAAUUGCAUGCAUAUUUCUGAAUUGCACUACUCCGCUCUAGAAGACCAGCUGUGGACGGGUUCGGCAGGAAUAUGAGAACAGAGUACCCAUUUCCGUAGACAGACAUUUUUUUCCGAAUACAAUAAUAACAAUGAUUUUUUUCAAUAAAAUGCCAGCCUUUUAUGUGUUUCCGGCAUUACAACAGCAGGCUACCCAUUUUCCCCGUUUUAGCUGUGGGUCGAAUAACAACGCAACCAUUUUCGAAGAAAUGACCAGCUGUUUAUGGCAUUCCUCCAUUACAACCAAUUACAUACCCAUUGUUCCAUACACAACUUAAUUUAAGGGAUAAAACACAGAUAAUACGUUUUCUAAAUAAAACACCACCUAUUUGGGGGUUAAUCCUCCGUUAUAAGAUGACGGUACUCAUACACCACCAAAUUAUGUAUUCAUACACCCACUGAAUUAAAAACGGGGUGGAUUGGGUUUUUUUCUAAAUUUUUUUCCAUUAUUUAGUUUUUAAUAUAAUUUAUGGAUUUUUCCUUUACAAAUAAUAGUAAUAGUUUAAUGGUAUGUGGACCUUGAUUUUCCUUCAUAUUUUUAAACUAUUCUAGAGCAUAUUAUUUUUCUUUUAAAGUAUUCAUUUGAAUUCUAGGCCUGGGAUUGUAUUGAAAAUGAAAAUAAUAUUUUUACAUCUUUUUAUAUUGUGCUACAGAAUAAUUAAUAAAAUAUAUAUACAUACAUAUAUAUAUGUAUACAUAUACAGAAAAUUUAAAAUAAGUGAUGCAUAAACUAUUCAAGAUUUUCAGUUUUGAUUAUUAAUCUUUUUCUUUAGAUAAAAUGCUCAUUCAAUUAAUACAAACCUAUAUAGAAAAUAAAUCCGACAGUUAUAAGAUGACGAUACUCAUACACCACCAAAUUAUGUAUUUGAGUUAUAAAGUAACCCUUGUCCACUUCAACAUACGCUUUUCUUGGGUUUGCUCCAUUGUAAUCGGAGUACCCAUUUUUAGGUAUCAAAGCGAAUCUACUUCAAUUCACGUAAACAAAGACUGGCGCCAAGAUUUUUAGUUCGGUUGGCGGGGUUAGUCCCCAAGAUGACAAGACUGGCGCCCGAUUUUUAGCUCGGUUGGCGGGGUUAGUCCCCAAGAUGACAAGACUGGCGCCAGACUGGCGCCAGUCUUGCUUAUAGCACAAGUCUGGCGCCAGUCUUGCUUAUAGCACAAGAUUUACAACCUCGUGUACGGAUGGACAGAUAUGUGAACAGUCAUUUCAUUGCUGGUGGCCCACCUUUCAUUUCAUUGCUGGUGGCCCACUUUCCACUGUGAAUUCCAAUGUGAGAAUUCGAUGGUGUAAAGUAAAGUAAAGCUACUAGAUUUCGUCAAGCUUCUUGGGUUUCGUCAACAAAAUGUAAGAAAAAAAAAGUAAAGCUACUAGAUUUUUUUCUUGUCCUUGGACAAUAAGCAUUGGUUGGAGGUAUCAAAAAGAAUUAUAAGGAAUGUGUAGAUGACAUUUUACAAUUGGUGAUGUCCUUACUUGUUUUCUUCUAAUUUUUUAUUUUGAAUUUUACAAAAAUUUAUUUUGAGCAAUACAAACGAAUCAAGUUCAACCUUUCGGACUAAAACAAACCAAUGUAUUUCAAAUUUCAAGAAUUAGAUACUUAUCAUAUAAGGAUAAUUUUAGAAACCAUUAGCCAAUUUUGGCAAAUGACUUAUUUUUCUUGAAUCCUUGGGAAAUUAUAUGGCACUUUUUACUUUGACACCCACUGAAUUAAAAACGGGGUGGAUUGGGUUUUUUUCUAAAUAUUUUUCCAUUUUUUAGUUUUUCAUAUAAUUUAUGGAUUUUCCCUUUACAAAUAAUAGUAAUAGUUUAAUGAUAUGUGGACCUUGAUUUUCCUUCAUAUUUUUAAACUAUUCUAGAGCAUAUUAUUUUUCUUUUAAAGUAUUUACUUCAAUUCUAGGCCCGGGAUUGUAUUGCAAAUGAAAAUAAUAUUUUUACAUCAUUUUAUAUUGUGCUACAGAAUAAUAAAUAAAAUAUAUAUACGUACGUAUAUAUGUAUACAUAUACAGAAAAUUUAUACUAAGUGAUGCCUAAUCUAUUCAAGAUUUUCCGUUUUGAUUAUUUCCCUUCAAUCCUUUAGAUAAAAUGCUCAUUCAAUUAAUACAAACCUAUAUUUCUAUUGCUUUUUUUAUUUUGCAAAGGCAGUGGGGGUGGGGCUUAAAAGAUGGGGAGGGAAUAAGGGGAUUAAAACGUAGGACCUCUAAUUUCUGAAAUUUCAACCUAUAUUUUUCAUCGUUUGACUGAUGAAAAACAUAUAUUUUUGGUCAUUAACUGAUACAAAUGUGGACUUUGUGGUCCAAAGUAUAAGUUCAUUUGGGGAAAAAAACAUUUGUCACCAAAAUAUGACAUUUUAACUAACAUAUUAAUCAUUCUAUUAUUUACUCAAACCCAUGCUAACUGUCACUUUGUCUGGGAGAGGGUUGACGUGGGUGGCAACUGGCAAGGGAGGAGGGAGUGCAAAUAGGGGGUUUUGGAUUCAAUAUCUCUCACUUACACAGAAGAACAAAAAUUCAAAAUCGUUUGACAAAAAAUUUGACCAUUUUACCUUAUAUCUUAUGUAUUCCAUGAGGCACAAAAUUACAAUUCUCAACAAUUAUAACUUUAGCUUACAUCUAGUUUUGCCCAACAUAAAAUAAUCUUUUUCAAGCAAAAAAUAUCAAUUGCAAAACAUCGAGCACUUUACACAGUGAAAUAAGUGAUGCAUGACAUGCUUAAAAAAUUGUAAUCUAUGAUGAUUUACAUAACAGAAGGAUUGUUAAAUACAGUCAAUGAGAGGGCUAGGUUGGAUGGGAAGAUUAUAAAUAGUUUUUAAAAAAAUGUAUCGAUAUCCGAUAGAUUAUAUUAAGAAAUACCCAUCUACCAGUACUUGCACUAUUAUAAAAAUUUAUAACUGAUUUAGCAAUUGCAUUUCUUCACAAACAAGUGUAAGUGGUAUGUCGUGGCCAUAAAAUUGUUGACUGUGAAUAUUUAUGGUUGCAGUUCAUAAUAAAAUUUUUAAAUUUUAUUAUGAUAGAUAAAGUUAAGUGUACGGGUUGCAGCGACAUGAAUUUAGAGGUUAAGUAUAAGCAGAGGAGGGAGGGAACAAAAUGGUGAGAAGUUGAAGAGUGAUAGGAAAGAUUGCCAAAAAAGUAUGGGGUUACAGGGAUGGAUGGAAACAGGAAUAAAAAAUAAAGGGGAUUGAAGGGAUACGAAUUACGAUAUAGAUGAUUGUGAUUUUGAAUAUUCGUAAGAAGUCUAAAAACACAUAUUGCGGAGAUUUUUUAAAAAAUACGACGUUAAAAUGGAACAAAAUUAAUUGGUUGAGAACUUGAGAUCCUUGUUUUUUAUUAUACGUUUUUUAUAUAUGGACCUUAACAUCAUAUGUUCUAUCCAAUAAUGCAUUGAAUUAUUUAAGAAACGCUUUUCAUCUUACCACCCAUGCUAACUGUCUCUUUAAAUGCAUUAAAAAUUCUGUUACCAUGUACAUGAUUCUAGAUUACUUUUUUCCCGAAAUAUUAAGCAUCUCUUCUUCAAAAAGUGUUAGUAUAGACAUGUUUAUUAUUUUGUACCACAAAAUCUACCUAUUAUAUAAGAACAGAGUGGAGUUACUGUAGCAACUCCAAUGAUUGCCAAGUGGAUCUCUUUUUCUUUGACACGUGGUCCAUUCCUUUUCUUUUCUUCAUUUUGCUUAGUUUUUUCUUUUGUUCACUUUAUUUCCUUUCUCUUUUUUGAUUGCAGAUAAAGGUAAUUAUACAAAUCCUCACGUGAACUACAUGUUUCUUAUAUAGUUUCUACUUUGUACUCCCUUUUUUCCCUAUCAUCCUAAUCAUUUGAACUUGUUUUUUCUCUAUUGUAUUAGUUGAUGCACUUUCUUUCAUUUUCCCCCAUAAUUAACUAAAUGAAUGAGUUCAUUUAAGGAGAUCAAGAAUGGGUUUGAAAUUUCCUUUCUUCCGUAGUCCAAAAAUUAUGAUUCAUAAUCUUCUACGUUUAAUGUCUCUUUUUGGUAUAUACUAUUUCAUAUUUUUUUUGUCAUUUUUUCCGUCUUGAUGAGCAACCUUUGCUUAUUGCUUUUGUCACCUAUUUCUUCUUCAUCUAACUUUCUUUUCUGCCCAAAAGAGGUAUGUGAUGCUGUGAAUAUUUUCCCCAAAUCUAAAGAAACUUUUUUUUAGUUUUUUAUAUUUUAUUUAUGGCCACACUACUUUUUCAUAUUUUUAUUUUUGGAAAAAGUAAACUAAGGUUGACAACAGGACGAGUGAUGAUUACAUGAAAAAUUUUUACGCUAACAAUGAAAGAAUUGUUAGAGGUAUCAAAAAGAGUGAUUUGGGCAGAUUCAUUCUAUUUCUAAUUUUUUUAAUUAUAAUUGUUAUUUGAUAAUAGGGUGAUAGUACUACAAUAGAGGAGAAAAAAAAUCUAAUACAUGAAAAUCCAAGGUAAACGAUCAUCAGGAAGAAAAAAAGUAUGCUUAUUAAAUUAUAAAUUAACCCAAUCUCUUAAUUGAUGGAUAGAUAAUUAUAUUUUAAUUUAUAUAAAGUUUAUCAAUUGUGAAAAAUGCUUACAAACUGGGGUUACUGUGGAUGACGUGUAAAAUAUUUGUGGACCUUGCUUGUAUGUCAUUGUUAGAAUGUGAAGAUAAUAUUUUAUAUGUCUUCAUUCAACAUUUUGAAUUACUAACUUGUAUCCAUGACAGGUAGUUUAUUUUCAUGCUUUUAAUUUUAGCAAAUGAUAGCUUGGAAAUAAAAAAAAAAGUGCAAAAUUAGACUUCAGAAUCUUUAACUUAUGUAUUUGGUUCUAUAUGACUUACUCUUAUCCUUUUUUAUUGCCCAUAAUAAUAGAUAAUAUAAUUAGAGUUUGAGAUGAUUGUUAGGCAACUUCAAAUGGACAUGUCAUUACUAUUUGGCUAAAGAAGUUAAUAAUAUUUUGUUGAUUUGACUAGCUAAAACAGUUGCAAUUUUCAAAGGAAUGCAUUUGGUGGUGGAAGUUAGUAUUGAGACUUUUAGCUUAGAGUGUGACUAUACAAAAUAUUAUUAGAAAAUUCUAUUUUCAUUAAGAAGACAUAUUUGCAAUCAAACAAAUUGUUGAAUUUGAAUUUGCAUAUGUAGAUUUACAAAUAUGGCAAUUCAUGUUUUUAUUUAAACUUGCUAUACAUAUUCUAUAACUAUUUGGUUAGAUAAUGUUUUCAUCUAUUUGUAAUGCUAUUAGACAUGAUUUAAAUGGAUAGAUUAACUCGCUAUUUCUCUCAAAAAAGAAAGAAAAAUAUGCAAGUUUGUAUUUUUUUUAUUGAUGUUGAAGCUGGUCACAGGUUUUUGUGCCUUUCUAUAUUUUUCCUAAUUAUUAAAAUUUCUGAAACAUUAUGACUACUGUUUAUUUAAUUACAAUCAAAACUAUGCUGCUCUUAAACCGAUCAUGCACUCAUGAUGGAUUUACUUUGUUUUCUUUUUUGGUAUCAUUACGUACACAUAAUGUUGGUUAAAAAUUCUUUUUUCCAAAUCACAAUAUAUUUGGGUUAACUUUAUAUAUGAAAGUUCUUUUCACAGCAAAUUUUAAUUGUUUUUAUACUUAAUAUUUUUCCUAUAUUUCUAUUCAUUGUGCACUAAAACUGCCGGUACUAUGUAUUUAACUAAUGUUCUAGAGGGUCGUGCCUGUGCGUUGCACAGCCCGUGUCAACAUAGUGUCAUUGCAGUUUUGGCAACCCGUAUUCAUUUAUCGUCCGGACCAUCCAUUACGGGUGCUUUUCAAUUUUAGCUGUUAAUGUCUUGGGGUUGCGGUUUCUGUUUAUAAAUUCAAAUUAUUUCAUGGCAAUCUGAUCCAAAUUUCCCCCUUGCUAUAAUAAAACGUUCGGAGAUAUUUCAUUGCUUAUGACACGCAGGUUGGCCACAAUAUUUGUUUCCUUAGUCAUCCAAGUAAAACUGAGAAGGGUAUGUAUGUCAAGGCUAAUGAAAACAUGCAUAGCACACGCGCCGACCGUCACUGUAACACAUAUUUCCCAAUUUGCAACCCUAAUUACCAGGUACAAGCCCAUUGCACGCCCAACCUGGCGACAGCCGUCCAAAAUGUCUAACAAUUCAAAUUUCUCGCGAAGAAAGACGCCUACGCACCUACAAAGCCCUCAACACUUAACGGCAAAGCUGUUCAUAAUCGCGGAUGGGGCGACAGGGAUUUUGUGAUAACUAGAGCUGCGCCAUCACAAUAUUCAGAAUAAAAUUCAACUCCAAAAAAGCCGUGCGAUGGGCAGGCUCCAUCGCUACCGGCCACCGCCUGAUGAAGAACACUCGCAAGAACUGCUGGUUGAUCGGAAAACCCACAUAUCACACAUUUUCCUUGCACAGGGGGUACAUGUUGCAGAAUCAAUGUCCACAAUUACUUGUGCUUAUUUUGCCCUAAACCCUCAUUUGGUUUAUACUUAUAUAUAACUGGCUGAAUUGAUUCUACAUUAAUGCACAGGAAGUCUAUUCAAUUUAUCCUAGAGGGUCGUCAGUCGAAAGUUGUUAGUGCUGGGUUUGGGGAUUUUCUGAGCCACUUGCCCGUGGCCGAUAGAGAUAGGAAGUUGCUUGUCGCACUUGCGGAGCGAUGGUGGGACUCAACAAACUCGUUCCACUUGCCUUUCGGAGAGAUGACACUGACACCCUUGGACUUCACCUGUACAACCGGUGUUGCAGUGGGCGGGUUGCUCAUUCCGUGGGAUUACAAUGUUAGGGAAAAUGUCAAUUACAUCAACGAGCAAUUGGGUUGGGUGCCAACUUUUGCUUCUGCCGGUGCCAUCAGAGUUACCGAUAUAUUGUCAUUCUACAAAGACAAGGCCAUUGACGAGAACGACGACGUCCAGCUGGCACAUCUAACUAGAGCUUUCUUUCUCUUCAUGCUUGGCCGCACUUUACUUAGCAACACGGCCGAAACAAUUCACCUGUGCUGUCUGCCUGCGCUGGAGGACGUAGAUCGUAUAGGGGAUUAUAAUUGGGGAGGGUCGGGGAUGGCAACCUUAUAAAGAUUUAUGUCCCCGACGACGGACGAAAAGCCUUGGCGGCUACAACUUCGUUUGGGAGGUAAGUCCAGAAUUGCCUUCACUCUGUGUCAAUUCGACAUUACCAUGUUCCGUUAAAUAAACUUUUCAGGCAGUUAGUGUUCAUCUCCAACGCUGGAUAUAAUUUGUACAACCACGUGUAGGUGUGGGCCUAUGAAAUUUUUCAGUUAAGUCCGUAUAAACUGAAACAGAACGAGAGGGACGUAUUGCCCAGAAUAUGGCGAUGCGCUCGUGUAAUAGAGCCAGCCGACAAUCACCGUUUACGGUCGAACAUUUUCGCCACGCAAUUGACACCAUUAACCCUGAAAACGUUAGUUCCCGUACUUACGACAUCUUACAUUUUCUACCGCCUACGUGUUAACAGUUGUUAUGAAUUUGUUCCGCCUGUUCAACAAACCAAUGUUACAUCGUUUGUUAAUUGUGUGUCAUAGGUCAACUGGCUGCCCUUCCCUGCAAUGGCAUUGCCGAGUCGGUAUCUCAAAUCCAAGAAACUAACUGCAACGAGAUUGCUUUUGGAUGGCCCCAUGGGACGAUUUUACUACCUGGGCGAGAGAGUUAUUAGGCAGGUGUAUGCAGGUGUAUGUGCAAAGCAACCUCCCCAUCGGCCAUCAGAUAUGUACAGCACUGAUACAAUUUCGAGAAACACGCUACAUGAUGUGCUUGAUGGACUGCCUAUUGCAAGCCUAUACCCAGAUCCCCCUCCAUAUGCUACGUAUGACGAGUUUGUGCGUAGCAGGCUAAUGAAACCAAUGACUUCCUCCACGUUGCCACCUAGUGGGAAGGAGUGCGUAAUUCAUAUAUGUGACCAGUUGCCACUAAGUGAGGUUACAACACCGUCACUGAAACAUCCAAUUAAUUACUCUCCCUGGUCUGUGUUGUGCAUACAAACUGAUGGAUCACUGCAGCAGGAGAGCAUUCACAGAGUUGGUGGCGAUGUAAUAGGAUUGCCUCUUCCAUGUGCUGUUGGUGAUGUGGCAUGGCAUUCUUCGCCCUGUACUUCACUCGGCAUUUAAUUUUAGCAAUUUGGGUAAAAUUAAUACAGCCAUCUGUGUUGUUUCCGCUUAGGUUCCUAGACACUGGUACGAGGACCAGCUUGUUCAGUGCAUGGGGCUCAGAAAGAAAGCCUUAGAAAAAAGUGCAGAAAUAUUUCGUUUGGCAUCCAAUGUGUCGGACAACUCACAAGUGGUGGACCAAAGGCUACAUCAAAUAUAGGUAAUUUUGGAAAGUGCAUUGAAGCUCCAAAAGGGGACAGGGAAACGCUGCCUUCGCGGUGGAAUUGGUGGCUGGGAAUCCUGUCUUUCUAAGCGUCCGAACACAAGUGCCGGGACGGAGACAUUUACAGAUGACCUUGGUAGAGGCAAAACUCACGAAUGUCAGGGAAUUCAUAAUGUCAAAAACUGAACACCCAUGGCCCAUAACCGCAAACAAGGUUGUGUAGCCGGAGGAAUGAGCAUGCAAACUAAUUGGGAGUCCCCAGCAACAAAGCCGAGCUGUGAGCAAUCGCCACGUCUGUUGUGUACUUUUAAUACAAUUUAAAACUUGAACACCCACCACGGAAAAUGUUAACAGUUCACAGAUAAUUGGUAACGUUGAACUUGUUUUUCUAAAUUUAUACCGUUUAACUGCUUCGAUAGAAAAUUUGUCACCGUCAAUUUCCCACAACUAAUUUAUAGUCAUGUUCUUAUUUUUCGUCUGUCUCAAAUUGUUCUUCACUUGCAAUUGAAGUUUGCAGUGAAAUUAAAUAUUUACAACAAAACAAUUUAAAUGCAAGUUGUUGUUACUAUAAAUCUAUCAUAAUUACUGCAUUACAUUUUUCGGACUUAUUUAUAUCAUGACAGAAAAACCUUUUGUAUGAAUGCAACUCCAACAUUAUAUCAUGAGUUCAAGUUUCCACACAAUUGUACAGUAAUUAGUGUAUUCAAGUUUCCACACGGUUGUACAGUAAUUAGUGUGAGGGAGGCUGACGAAGCAUUGCUACCUAAGUGGAUUGUCCCAACAGGGUAUACCAAUUUUUGUUUAACUAUGUCACCAAAAAAGCAUCAGAGGUAUCAAAGUUGUUCGGAUGGAGUGUCAGUAAACAUGUUGAAUUUUUUCUACAUGUUAAUAGCAAUUUAGAUUACGGACAUGACGCGGACAUUGCAUAAUUGUUAUAAUAAGAAAUUCUUUAAUCGUGUGCCAACAAGUUACGUAAAAUAGUAAACUCCAAUGGAAAUGUACAAAUGAUGUAAAAAAUAUUAAUCGUAACUGAUAGUUAUUGGCUAAUUAAAUAUAUUAUUACAAAUGUAUUCUUAAAGUUACUCGAACUAAUUAAUAAUUUCUAUUAGUAGAUAUGUAUAAUUAUUAGUAUAAUUCAUAAUAUUAAUUAUAUUGGAUAAAUUAAUAUACAUAUAUAAUGCAUAUAUAAUACGAUUGUUAUUGGUGCACUGAAGAGACGCAUAAGCAUUGUGAGCAAUGAAAAUAGAUGGGGAGAAACAAAGUUACUGUUCCUAUACCAGAAUGGAACGAUGGGCAAAACAAAAGGCGUUGGGCCUUACAGUCAUUGGUUAGGAUAGCAAGGAGACGAACAAACAUCCCAUAUCGUAAAAGCAGUUUAUAGCAGCAGCGUAAGGCACCAGUUUACAAAACCUGGGCAACUGAAGCUGAUUCUCAAGUAGCCACUUCGGAAAACGUCUAUCCCACGAAGAGAUUUUGCGCAACAUACGCUUCCACUUAAUUUUCUAUUUACAAAAAAGGACCGUAAUACACAAUUUGUCAACUACUUACUCUCUCCUAUUAACCAAGUGCAGCAGCACUAUUUGCUACAACAAUGCUUACGACGCAACCAUGAUAGUGAUGCAGCUUGUGAUCCUUCUGUGCAUGACGCCUUCGGUGGAACUACAGUGACUUACCCAUCUAGACCUAGCUAGCAACCUUCAAUACUCUUGCACCUCUACUCACCAAAACCUACCUUAUUUAUUGUGUAACUGCAAACCGAAGCAUCACAACAGUUGUGCCUCAUCUUUCUCCUGGACUUCUUUGUUGGUCACCUGUGUCCCUUCCACCGCUACCGCAUGCUUGUGGUGCAAAUGCUUGUCCUCUCCAUUCGCUUGAGUCGCUUCACCCCGUACCAAUUUCAAAUGAUUUUUCCAACGAGUCAUCCAAACAAUUUUCCAUAUGAUCAUCAUGAACUGCUGUGUUGUGCGAAUUAUUUUUGUAUGGACAUGUUCGUUGGUUGUGGCCAGCCUGCAAUCUUCAACCCAUAUAUCACAUGUCAAAUCAUUUGUGACUGCAAGUAACCACGUCAACUAAACACAAUGCUGACAUUACACCACUUCAACUUUCUUGCACUGCCAAUAACUUUGUAUACUUUGUAUGCACUUUUAAUUAUGUGUUUAUUUGCUACUGUUGAAAAAUACCCACGUAAUAAUUAUUACCUUCACUCUCCAUUUCAUGUAUUUUAUCAAUUAACAAAUUGCUUAUAACUACGUAUGCAUUUUCGAUAGUACCUGCAAUGACCACACUUUCUUUUCUUCUUUGUUUCUGCAUGCUUGUGAUCACCUUUAGACCGGGACACCCUGGGAUCUAACAGCCCGAAUGUUCUUCUACUUCUAUCGUUCAUCACUCUUGAAUCCAUUGCAAAUCCGUCUCCCCCAUAUCCCCUUUCAAUCCACUUCUCCUUUAGGUCCACAGAAUACUUGUCAAACAUCUGCUGCAGGUCAUUAAAUGCAUCAUCCAUAUAGGACGCAUAGUAACACAUACUAUUACAGCUCGACUUUAAAGUGCCAUAUCUGACCAUUUGUGUCAGCUGUUCGUCUGCAACAAAUGCUUUCAUUCCAUUAUUAGUACUGUAAACUCCCUUUGUCCACCGCUUCGAAAUGCAUGCUUCUGGGAUCCUGUUCAUUCCUUCUACCACCAUCACGCGAAACAUGUGAGCACAAGGAAUCCCCUUUGACUCGAAUUUCAUGCAAGAGCAGAUUAGCUUCUCCAUUGACCUAUCAUAAACCACCCUCCAACUAAUUUCGUGUCCACCAUAUUUCGAGUAAUAAUAUGUACGACUCCCUCCAUCCUCGCUCCAGCCCUCAGAAAUUAGAAGUCCCUGCCUGUUCAAAUGCUUCCUCACCAUGAAGAACACAUUCCUUGUAAACACCUCUGCUGCGCUCCCCUCUAAUUCGGGCAGGAUUGUGGUUAAGACUGGUUUUGUAUUUUCGCUUGUGUGAACUGCUUUGCUCUCAGUAUGUCGAAGUCAUGCUAUUGCCAAAUCAAAACUUCUAACGAAUUCAUAUAGUCGCCAUAACCGCGUAAAUAGGCCCCAUAACCUUACCCUACGGUACAACUUCUUCACACACUCAUUCUCUACCACCCCACAUUCAUUAACUAACCUAGCCCACCGAUCCUCAAACUCAAGAGUGCUAAACUUUCUCGCCAUCAGGUCAUACAACCUGUUAUUAAACUCCUCGCAGCGAAUAUUACUCCGUACAUUUCUAUGCAAGUGCCACGAACAUAGCCUGUGACAAGCAUCCGGGAGAAAAUUCUUUAUCUCUCUUCGCAUUGCACUGUCCCCAUCUGUUAUCACUGCUACUGGCUUUCUACCUUUCAUAGCCUCUACAAAUGUACUUAGCACCCAUUCAUAUGUUUCAAUCCUCUCAUCUGAUAGCAGUGCACAGCCGAAAACAGUACUGUUCAAAUGGUUGUUUACCCCUGCAAGUACAACUAGUGGCUUGCGGUAUUUAUUUGUUUUGUAUGUUAUAUCAAACACCAAUACAUCUCCAAAUACACUGAAGUCCACACGAGAUUUAGAAUCUGCCCAAAACAACCUUGCCAAUCUUCCUUCGUUAUCUACAUGAUAUUUAUAAAAGAACAUGUCAUCGGCAUCCUUCUUCGCUGCCGAGAACCCAAGUGCCCCUUCUGCAUCGCCAUUAAAAAUAUCUUUUCUACGUUCCUCGUCCAUUCGGUUAUAUAGAUCCUUAAUGCAAAAUCCCACGUUACUAUACCCUCCGGUUUUGAUAACAAAAUAUUUCAUUAUCUGGCAUAUUCUGGCCCCAACCAACUUUAGACUUUUUGCCUACGCAUAUUCUGCAUCGCUCACUUUUCUAUGCGACCUAAGGUGUUGCACACUUGCCUCUGAUGCCAGCGGGUGAUUGUGCUCCAUAAUGAAACGUGUCACCACAUACUUUACAGAUUCUGUGUCAUAUUUCAAGCGAAAGCAAGCCCCACACCCGGUCCUUGUGAUUGCUUUUGCUUCUCUUUUCCGGUCUUCAUAAUUAAACCACUUUUCAUUCCUAUAACCUUCACAGCAACAUACCCAUUUUCUAAAUCUUGAAAUGCCAUCUGCAUCUCGUUUGGCAUUACUUUUACGAAUCCCAAAUCCGCUUAAUUUCGCAUACAAAUUAUAAAAUUCCCCAACUUCUUCUUCCGUGUCAAAUAUUAAUUUCAUUACGUCAUCCACGCCUAUUGCGCCCACCAAUUCAUCUGUCUCCUCAUCUUCGUGUCCUCCUAUUGAACCAUCGCUUUCUUCACUGCAUGUGUCUCGGUCACACUCAAGUUCUUGGUUAAGGUCAAAUGACAUUAACCUGCCGCAACCAUCCAUCCCCAUUUUUCCCUUUUUUGUUUCCUGCACCAUGUCAUGAGUUUUAAGCACCCCAUCCUGCCCCAUACUUACAACCCCUGUGUGGUUGUUCAAUGCUUUUUCUAACCAUGGUCGCUUAACAUUUUUUUUUCAGCCUCCCCAUAUGCUUUCGUUUGUAACAUAAAUACUGAUCGUCUACUAAUGGAACAAAACAUAUAUACACGAUCAUUUCACUUAACAAACCAUACUUUACCUCACAACUUUCACAAAAUGCAGACGAUAAACAUUACUCUAACAUUCAUAUACACAGUUUUUAUAAGUGUGGCUGAUGCAAUUAUAUCAACCUUUAGCACAAAAUACCACUAUCGACAUGCAUUUUCAUUAACACCAACAAACUCAACCUCUACUGUGUGUUUCUUUAAUUCUUUUCACAUAACCAUGCGCAAUGCAGUAUGGGGGCCAUUAUCGAUGUCCGCACGGCCAUCCAAAUCACUCUGUUUUAAGACUUUAGUCCUGUUACAACGUCUUCUUCACGUCUUCACUCAUUUCUGCUUAAUUUCCUUUACACUAUUUAAUACAAAUUAGAGGACCAACAUUUCCUACGUACGUACACAAAGCUCCGUGCACAAAUAAACUGUGAUAAUUUUUCGGUUUCGUUACAUCUUUGUUCGAAGACGCAGGGUCUUACACCCCGUAUUUCGUAUUCCUUAUUCCUCUAUCAUUGUCUCUUACAAGAACUGUAGAAAUCACCCUAGUAGACGUACAGGUGUUUUACUCGUUAUUUUACUCCUUUUUUCAAAGUUAUGGACAAAAGUACUCACCUUUGAUUUCUCUGCUUCUGUUCCACGCCGCUGCAUUCUGUCACCACAGUUUCGGAAGGGUCUUCCUCAGAUAUAUCUACCGUCACCGCCUGCGCCUGAAUUUACGCCAGUAUACACCACCUCUGUCUAUUCCGCCUUGACUUCUUCUUUACCAAAUUUUUGCCUUCGAUUCCGACCUCACCACCUGUCUUCAAACACACGCAGCACUGCGGGCCCUAACAUGGCUGUGUUUAGUACCUAAUACGCUUCCUCUUCGGUGGCCCCAGCAUGGCUUUGUUUAGUACUGCUUUCUCUUUUUCUUCGAUGUUUUAUACAACAGAACCGACACCGACUGUUAAUUUUUAUGCUUUCGGAUAAAAAAUUUUGUAUUCUACGAAAUUGGGUUCUCCAGAACGUCUGAUGGACGAAAGCCGUAAACAGCAGGUCGUUUAUAAGACAACCGUUUUAACUAAAUUUUAUCCCAUAACCCAACAUUUGUAUUUAAGGCACGUUGGGUACUCUGUCACUGUAAUGGUUGAAAGGCACAAAGAGCUGGUCUUUUACUCACCAACGGGUUUAAUUUCUUUUUAUCCGAUAAAUCAGUCUGUCUUUAUGCCACCUUUGGUAUUAUGUUGUUGUAGUGGAAGAAAGCCAAGGGGAGCUGAAACUUUUAAACUGGGACACCCGUUUGAAUAUAAGAUUGACCAAUCCAAAAUGGAUUUAAUCUUUAGUUGUAGUGCAGGAAAGCCAUAAAGAGCCAACUCUUUAUUCAAAAAUGCAUUCCAAUACGGGUACUGCGUUGUUAUUAUGGACGAAAGAGUUGAAAAUUGGGGUUGUUUUAAUAAAGUUAACGGGUUUUUUUUUACUCCUUAGCCCAUUAUAUUUAUGUUAAUUCCGUUUCACCCCAAUACAUUUCCAACUUUUGUCGUACGCUACAUUCACAUUUCUAAACCGCGGUUAUAGGUCACCACUUACUUUUUUAGAAACAUUCCCUUCAUCUCCGUACAUGUCAGGUUGCUACGUGCCAGUUUUUUUGCCAUAUAAUUUACUUUCCACACCUGUCUUUGAAAUAUGUGAAUACACUACAGAAUUUACCUCCACUUCCACAAGGGUUAUUAUGUGCAAAAUUAUGAUACAAUUGCCUAAUCCUAUCCCAUCGACACCAUGGCAAACCUAUGUCUGCAACUCUAUCACAAUAUUCAAAACUCUCCAAAAGUGCUCACAACAAAAUACGGUUAACUUCACCCCCCCACAGGCGUGAUGGAAUUUACGGCUACUUCAUUAGGUUUUAGGGCCGGAGUUGGUUAGACAAGUGGCGAAGGUUCCCCUUCCAUCCCCUCGAAGCUCCGAUAGGAUGGUAUGGGCUUUGGCGCAGGAUGAUGCCUUCUCGGUAUCCUCGGCUUAUUCCCUUGUUGCGCAGGAGGCUAAUUGCUCGUGGGUGUUUCCACAAGUACGGCUGAAGGGUUGUCCAAUCAAGAUUUCCUUCUUCAUGCUAAGAUUAUUGCGGCUGCGUCUUCCCCUGAUGGAUCUCAUACGAAGAUUUGGGAUACAGGGCCCGUAGAAGUGUCAUUGUUGCUCUGAGACGGGAGAGGAGAGGGUUAGUCACACCUUUUGUAUAUGGGAAUUAGCACAGGCAGUUUGGAGUAGAUUCCAGUGUAUUCCAGGGGAGUUGGCCGUGGUGUCCAUAUUGAGACAUAUGGUGAUACGGUGGUGGUUGCAUCGAGGGCAAAAUGUGUAUCUCAAGUUUGUUUAUCGUCGUCUACUGAUGCUAAUCUGUUGGGAACUGUGGAGAGCAAGAAACAGGGGAGUUUUUGAUGGGAGGAAGAUGGGGUGUACGGAGGUGGCAGAGUAGGUAUUUCAACAGCUGCGAGCACUAUUUCAUUGUCAUUUCUCGGAGAUAACGAGUUCCUUUGGUUCUUGGGAGGUUUUUCACUCUGCUUUGUCUGGUCUGAGACAGAGGGUUUCGAUUCUCUCGGUUAACUGGUUGGCUCCUAGGGCAGGAUGUAAGCUGAACUCAGAUGGCUGCACUAGAGGAAACUCGGGACCGAGUGGGGGUAGGGGUGUGGUUCGAGAUUGGGAAAGGAAGCUCACCUUUGGUUAUUCCUGUUUCUUUGGUUCCUUGACAAGUUUACAUGCGAAGCUCAAGGCCAUGCUUUUUGGGGUGCAGCUAUGUGUUGCUCGUGGUUUGCAUGUAUUGCAUGUCGAGGCUGAGUCGCUCGGCUUGGUGCAGAUAAUACAAGGGCAGCAGGGUUGUCCGUGGAAGCUGCAACGGAAGGUGGAUGAAUUGCUCAGCUAUAAGCGGCACUUACGGGAAAUAACACAUUACUAUAGAGAGGCGAACAAGCCCGCGGAUUACCUAGCCAACUUUGGAGCAGAUACGGGGCAAGAGAAUAUUUUUAAUAGCCACUGCGCUUUGCUAGCAGUUGUCCGUGGGGAGAUUACCAUGGACCGUUUAGGUUUUCCUAACUUUCGUAGGAAAUUUGUAUGACUUUCGCUUAUCUUGAUCAAUAAAAUUAUAUAUUAAAAAAAAAAAAAAAAAAAAAGAGUUAGAUAAUCCACAAUAAAGAAGUCUAAACAAAUCAAUGUAGUUAUGUCAAUGUUGCUAGCAAUGUUUAUUUUAAACGAAACAAAAUUAGUUAGUGCGUUUGGAAUUAAAAAUAUUUGCUUAUAUAUUUUUUUAUUGUUACACUUUUUAAUGUGUUUUAUAUACAUGAUUAAAAAAUAAAAAAUGUAAUGAAAAAUGUAUUUAGAGAAUCCUCAAUUGUUUUUAAAAAAUGUAGAAUUCAAACAACAUACAAAACAAGGUAAGAGUGAGAUAUAAAAAUGCCAAAUAGCAUCUUAUUGAUUCGUAAAAAUCUUGUGAAAAUUGCAAGGUAAACGAAAAUUAUCAAAAUCAAUCCGUUUACAAUUUAAAGAAAGAAAUAUAAGUAAUGACAAACUUGUGCAGAAGUUUUAGGAAUUUUUAAAAUUUUUUCUCCACAAUAUAAUUUUGAAUUCUUUGGUAUUAUAUUAUCUCUUAUUUUUUAAGUUUUUAAAUCACGUGACUUUGUGUUUUUUCUAACAAGAUAUUUCAUAUUCCGAUUAAAAGUAUAGUAUUAUUCUAGAACCAUUAUAUAGGGGCAUUGAUAUCAUUUUGUUAAAAUUUUGAAUAGAGAAUUCAACAUUAAUAUUUGACUAGUCAAUGAAGGGAGUAAAAUGCAUAUAUUUAAAGUUGUUGGAGGAGGGAAGGGUUAUAAAGAGUCAAGUUCCGAGGACAAUUAUAAUUAACCCUAUAAAAUAAGAACUUAGGCCUUGUUUGAUAACCUAAUUCAGCACUUAAAUAUAAUGGAUUUAAAUUUUAACAUAUUCAAACGCAUUUGAUAACAAAAAAAAUAGAACAACUGAAUUAAUUAAGUAACAUUGAAUUUUGUACGCAAAACUUGAUCCAAAAAAUAAGUGAUAAAUCAUUCACUUAUUAUUUAAUGCGAUAUACACAACCCAAUAAUUUGACGGAUUCAAAUUUCAGAUUUUAAAUUUUAGUUUUUAGACUUCAAUUUUAUGAACGCACUCUUAGACCCAAAAAAAAAAGCCUACAACAAAUGACAAUGGUGCACCGAGCCCAACUUAAGCAGCCCAAAACAAUGCAUCAACUAAGCAUACACGGACCAAACAACAACCAAACCCUGCUUACUUAACGUCUAGGGCCCAAUGUUCUAGUAUUUAAUAAGCAUGCGUAUGUUUCUAGUAAGAACAAAUCUCGGGGGCCUUUUUUUUUUUUUUUUUUUUUUGAGAUUAGCAAGCCCUGUCAACUCGGAUGCAACACAAAUCAAAGAAACUAAGGGUCCAUUUGUUUCGGGUGAAAAUGUUUUCCAGGAAAAUAUUUUCCUAAUUUCCCGUGUUUGGUUGCACAAAAAUUACUGCAAAUAUUUUCCUAUGUAAAAUAUUUUCACUCAUCUUAUGGAAAACAACUUCCCUUCCAAACUUACUGAAGUUGUUUUCCGAAAUACAUGCAUCCCACCUGUAGUAUGUUCCAAACUUACUGAAAACAUCUUGUAGUAUGUUCUUUUUUUUUUUUAGUGUAAACAGGAGGAUUCGAACCCAAAACCUCUUCCUUACACUCCCUCCCCCGUACCACCCAAUCCAACCCAACCCAACCCUCCCCCUAGUAUAUUCAAAAUAAAAGAAAAAAUCUCAUCAUGCUCAUCCUAUGCUAGUAAUUAAUUAUGUAUAAUAGGGACAUUCUUUUCUAGAGAAACUUUCAGCACUGAGAGUGCAAAAUAUAUGUCACAAUAAGCAUUGCAUAUGAUUGAUAUUUGACACUAAAUGGCCAGCAAUUUGUUUAUUGUUUAAAGAGAUAUUUUUAUUCAUAUAUACAUUUCUCUAAGAUAUUUUAAAAUUAAACAAUGAGAUAAAAUUUCUUAUUUUGCAUGGGAAGAAGUAUGUAGUUAUAAUGUGUAGAAAGUAAAGAUAGAGAUAAAAGUGAAAAUAUUUCAAAAGUUAAACAAACACCAGAAAAAUGAAGUAAGAAAAUAUUUUCAAUAAACUAACCAAACACCUGAAAAUGAUGAAAGGGAAAUGAUUUUCAUGGAAAAUUACUUCCACGAAAAAUAUUUUCCCAAGGAAAACAUUUUACUUCCAACCAAACAGACCCUAAAACCAAAACCAAUGCAUUCAAUGCUUUAGAUUACAGAGAUGAAUAGGCUUAGAUCACGGAUGAAGGAGGUUGUGGAAUCCUCUCACCAUCAGAAUUUUAUUGCAGAUGAUGUUCUAAGUCAACUUUAGCUUUCAAGCUGAUGACUUGGUAUAGAAACGGAUGCCAUGAGCCACACCCAAUGUAAUUACAGGAACCAAGAACUGGAGGAGCUUGAUGACCAACUCCGAUGUCUUGUCAAUAUGACCAAUUGCGUACAAUGGCCAAGGAAUGGGCAUUGACAUUUUUUUGAGUUGAAUUUGACUUUAUCGUUUGAUGAAAUAUCACAAGUUGUUGAGGUUCUACGGUGAUUGUUGAUUUUGUUUUUGGAUUUUGUUCUUACAACUGAUUGUCAAUAUCAUGUACAGAAGAUCAUACUCCUAAUUGUUUAUUGUAGCCAAGGUGUAUGACAAAUUGAGAGUUAAUUCUGCUUCAAAUAAUCAAGAGAAUGAUAUUGCUCUCCAAUAGAGAUGCUACAGAAUUUUGAAUUCUACCCCAUUUAGUCCAAUUGAGACAUUGAAUUCUACAAUAGGUUACCAUUCAUAUCUAGCACUUUGAUCAAAGUAAAAGAUAGCAUAACAUUUAUUUUCUCUAUCCCUUCUUACCCUGAAAAAGCAAAGCAACUUACAUUCUUGAACCGAUAACCAUCUUUCUGCUAACCUAUCCUCCUCCGUCUCUUGGGACUGGCAAAUGAUAGUACAGAAAUAUUCACCUAUUACCCAUCGACUACAUUUUUUGACCUAAUCUUAGGCCCUAACUCACCAUUCCUGGACGAACCUUGCAGAGGAACCCUUCAGUUUUUGGGGCAUGUUUCUACCCGGGCUUCGGUGGUUAACAUACCUGAGUUUUCUAUCAUUUGUGGCUUUUAAUUGUUAUAUAGCUUUGGGAAAACUUAACUUCUUGUGUUUUCCUGUUUCAUUUUUUUUUUAAUCUUGUCGAAUUAUUUGUAUUUAUGCUUCCUUUAUGGUUGAUCUUUCUAGUUUCUAUCGGGGAAUGUAGAUUCCUGGUACAACAGUUUCUUGGCAAGGAACUGGGUACAACUUUCCACUGAUUCAUUGACUUUGCUACACCUGCAACUAUCAAGAAAUUUAAGACGGGGGUGGUGAUAGUAACCUGCGAACUGAAGAUUUUGUGCUCCAUCUAUCAUCCAUGUGAAACACGUAAUAAAAAUACUCAUCCAUUUCCAAAUUCUAUAUUUAGCCUUUUGUUUAUUCCGACUUUUAUUAGAUAUAACUAAUGAAAACAUAACUGGGUAACCUCGCGUAGCGCGCGAGGCCCCAAUUAAGUAGUUUACCAUACCCGUUGAUAGUUUAUACGAGUCUGAUUAAUUUUAUUAUUUUUCUCAUAUGUUAUUGUCUUAUUGUGCAUAUCUGUUACAUGUUACGUCCCAUUUGGAUUGUGCGUAUUUUAUGAAAAAUUUUUAAAAAUAUUCUUCUAACACAUUGUUUUUUGGAAAAAUCGUUUAAAACAUCCCUCACAUUUUGCAGAAUAAUUUUUUUUUCAUCAUUCAUUUUUAAAAAUGUAAGUUUGCGUUCCUUAGAAAUUCAUAUUGGUCAAUUUUGGUCCCUACCUAUAUUUUCAACUAGUUUUUUGCUGAAAUCCACUACGUGCCUUGGACGUGACCAUUUUUUAGGAGUACAAUUGUUAAAUUAAAUUUCACAUAAUCCAAUUUUUUCGUUCCUCAUAUUUUAUAAAAUGAAUUUUUUCAUCCUUCACAUUUUACAAAAUGAAUUUUUUUCAUUUCUUACUGAUCAUGUGUACGAAUAGUUUUCUUUUUUAAACCCAUACAUAUAUCUAUUUGAUUUUAUCUAAACAAUACGAAUAGCAUGUAAUAUAUUUGUAUUUGAUUUCACUUACAAUUACAAUUAGUUUAUUCAAAUAAAAUUAAAUAGAGAUAUAUUACAUGCUAUUCGUACUUCAAUGCUAUUUGUACUUCAGUUGAAAUCAAAUAGACAUAUACAUAAGUUUUCAAAAAUAAGCAAAGACUAUUCAUACACAUGAUUAAUGAAAGACGAAAAUUUUCAUUUUGCAAAAUGUGAGGGACGAAAAAAUUUAUUUUGUAAAAUGUGAAGGAUAAAAAAAUUCAUUUUUGUGAAAUGUGAGGGAAUAUGGGUCAGAUCAUGUGAAAUAUGUUUGACAAUUUUACCCCUCAAAUUAUCUGGAUGAUCACUAAACUUUUGAAAUUAUCGAGUUUUGACCAUUGAACAAUUAAAAGUUUGGUUUUGUCCACUAAAGUUUAGAUUUUGGGUCAUUUUCUCUCAGAUUAAUUGUUAACUAUACCUCUUUCAUUUGUCUCGUGAUCGUGUGAACACUUAGAUCUGACAUAAUUAACGAUCAAAUCUAACAGAAUGGUCCAAAAUCUAAAUUUUUAAUAGUUUAAUGAGCAAAACUCAACGAUUCUAAAAUUUUAGUGGUACUUUGCACUUUUUCAAAAAGAUAGAUUCUAGAAUUCUUUUGCUUUAGUCAGCGGCCGCUUCCAGCCCAAUAUGGUUGUGGAAUUUCAGCAACACUAAUACUAUAUUUGAUUACAGGUUACAGGUAUUAUUCUAUCAAUUUCACUGUGUCAAUAUUCGAAAUCUUUCCUCUAGAACUUUUUUUUUCUUUCCAUUUUUAAUCAUGUAAAAAGACAUAAAUACUCUACCUUAAUUGCUAUUCCGACCACCUCAUUUACACCAUAUUUAUCAAUGGUUCUUCUUUCACAUGAUUAAAGUCAAUUAAUGUGUCCUUAAUGCUGAUAGUGUCCAAUAACAGGUAAUGGCAUUGGAGUUGGGAGAGCACAAAAUCAGGUGAUUGACUGAACGUGAAAAACUUUUGAAUUGUCGAGAAAAAUGGAAAGAUAAUAAAUGUUACCAAACUCAAGGACGGCUUUAAUGGAGACUCUAUCAGUCCUAAAUUGGAUUUUUUUUUGUUGGGGUGCUUUUGAAGACUAAAUUGUUACCUUUCCUGUUUAAAGGACCAAAUUGAGAUUUGAAACCACUUUGAGGGGAUUAAAAUAAGAUUAACCCUAAAUGGCUACCCCACAGCCCCAUCCAUUGGAAUCCGGAAAAAAAUGCACUUUUUCAUCCUCAAAAUUUGGUUUGAUGACCAAUUUUGUUGCUAAAGUUUCAACAAGAAUACACUUCAUUCUCAAAUUUCCUAAAUUUGGGCAAAUUAAAAACAAUUGACAGAAUAACAUUCAAUUUGGACAGAAAGUUGCACGUGAGAAGCAUGCUCCGUUAGAACCAACGAAAAAGAGGUAAAACCCAUUCAUUCUUCAUUUUUCUCCUUUCCUCUUCUUGUUGUAGCCUGUGUUUUAAAACUCGAACCGGACCGGCCGAUUCGAUCGGUCGAAUCGGGAACCGGACAACUGUCCGGUCCGAAUCAUGCUUAAAAACCGGAUAAGUAAAAAUCCGGUCAAAUACGGUCAAAACCCGGGUUUGACCGGAAAAAACCGAAUUUUUCGGUUCAAACAGUUUAAAAAAAAAACUCAAACUUUUUUAAUAUUAUGUUUUGACGCCUAAAUUAUUAAAAAUUAUUAAUAUACCUCAAAUAUUUCAUGCUUUAUCAAUAUUUUCUUAAAGUUUGGUGUUGUUUUUCAAUUAAGUCCAUAAUUUCAAUUCUAAACUUGUUAAUGCUCAUUAAAUAAUAUAAAUUGUUACUUGAUUGUUCUAAUUUCUUUGUAUUUUCUUGUUAAAUAUAUUUAAAACAUCAAAUAUAUAUAAAUAUACCUUUAUUAAUAUUAACAUGUUAUUAGGUAUUUUACAUAUAAUAUUUUAAUUUUUAAAUAAUUUUUAUUUAUGACGUUAUCCGAUUCAAUCCUUAUUGAAACCCGAUUAAACCCAUUGACCCCUAACCCCUAAGUUUGACCGAGUCGAUACCCAGUCCGGUUUUGAAAACAUAGGUUGUAGCUCUAAAUUUCUAACCACCCCCACCCUCCUAAAUCCAAGCAUCUGGCGGCGAGAAGGCCCACAUAAACAGACGUCAUGAGAAUCCAACCAAAGAAAAAUGACAUUGCAAAAAAAAAAAAAACUCAAUAAUUGUCCACCCCAUAAAUCAACAUGAAAAUACAAGUAGCUGGCAGUUUUUUCAUAUAAAGCCAUUUUAGGUUGGAACUAAAAUUCACGCCUAUAAACAGCUAAUAGUUUUUCAUAUAGUAGGAAAGUCAUAAACAACUGGUAGUUUAUGGAAAAUAAAAGAAGCCCACAAAAAUUUCCAUACACAACUAGUAUUUUAUUCGUUUCUCAAGAAAAUAAAAAAGAAACUAUAAAGAGGUAGUAGUUUUGGACAAAAUAAAAGAAAAACUAUAAAUAACUAGUAGAAUCUGUACAAGACAAAGGAACAAAAAACCACCUUUUGUUUCUGGGUUUCCUCUAUUUUAUCAAAAAACAACCAACUGUUGGGAUUGCUAUUAUAACUUGCAAAUAGGGUUUCCUUUAUUAUAUAUUUUUAUGAUAGGUAAAAAAUAAAAAUCAAAUGGGUGGGCUAAUUUAAUGGGUGUGGAUAGGUACCCAAAUUCAAGCCAUUUAUAACCAAGGUUUGCAAAAUUGAGAUCCUACGUAGGAUCAAUUUUAGUUUCACAGGAUCGGAUCGUAGAAUCGGAUCGUAGGAUCAUAAGAUCCCACCAAAAACUCCCAAAUUAACUAAAUUAAUUAAUUUGAAGUUCAUAUACAGUUUUGUACAAGUUAAAAAAUAUCAAAUAAGUAAAUUAUUUAUAAACAUAUAGCAUUUUUUACUUAUAAUUUGACAAGAAAUAAAGCAACGGAACUCUAAAAUGAAAAGAAAAGAUUCGGGCGUCUUGUCUAAUUAGAAAUAAGAAACAACCUAUCUUAACAUUUGAUAGUAAAAGCAUUUAGUACACAUAUAUAAUUGAUAGGCAUAAUUAAAAGAAACAAUCAAAUUAGGGGUUACGAAUACUCGUAGUUGUUUUCGUUGGGUGACUUCUUUUGCUGAAAAUUCUUUGAACUUGGACAAGGAUACAAAGACAAUAGAGAAUUAGAGAUGGGAGAUUGGCAAAAUUUUGUGAAAUUUUAUUGGAAUCUAGAUGGGGAAAAAAUAUGGAAUGGAGAUUGGGAAGAACCAAAGAAACUUUCUCUUUUUGUCCUUUGUGACUUUGUCUCUGCUUGUUUCAUUCAUUUGUUCCCAAAUCCUUUUUUGUUGUACCUUUUGUUUUUGAGACAAAAGUUGUUGCAAAAUUAUAAUUAAAGGAUCUAUUUCUUUGAUAAGUUACAAAAAUGCUCAAAAUGUUUCCAUUUAGUUUCAAAAUUUAGCCCCACAUUUAUAAAAUUCUCAAAAAUUUGUAGGAUCACAACGGGAUCGUAGGAUCGUACGAUCCUAUAUACGAUCCUACGAUCCCAUGAACGAUUCUAACGAUCCUAUGCAAAUUAAGACAAUUUUCUAUUCUAUGCACGAUUUGAAUCGAUUUUGCUUAUCCGGAUCAUAGGAUCGUACGAUCCUACGAUCCGGAUCGCGAUUUUGACAACCAUGUUUAUAACCCAUAAAUAAGUGGCUGUCCGCCGUUUAUAUUGACUUUCUGGCGCAUAGAUGACCGGAUUUAUGAUGGUGAAUGUGACUACAAAUUUUUUUUUAGGGCUACAACAAGUAGAGGAGUGGAGAGGACAUAAAUGAACCAAGAACGAAUUUUAUCUGUUUUUUAUUGGGUGCAAAGUUGGUUCUAACUUCUAACUGGGCAUGCUGCUCACAUGUUCUUUUCUAUCUAAUUUGAGUGUUAUUCUGUUAAUCAUUUUUAAUCGGCUAAAAUUCAAGAACGUUGAAGAUGAAAUGUAUUCUUGAUGAAAUUUUGGAGAUGAAAUUAAUCAUCAACCCAAAUUUUGAAGAUGAAAAGUGCAUUUUUCCCUUAGAAGUCUCGUCAUCGUUGCAGUGCAUUUUGCCCUGUCACCCACAGAAAAGCACACGGUUGAUGGCUUCGUUAUGUGUCAAUUUGUAAUGGCACCCCCCAUACAGUUAUCUUUCAAAAGAUGUUCUACUCAUUAAGUCUAAUACAGGUUUUAUACGAUGUUUAAUGGUGAUAAUGAAUUACAAUGGCUAUAAAAGUUAGACUAAUAACUAACAAAAUGAGAUUUUGCUUAACAAUAAAAAAUCACGUACAUUAAAAUCGACUGGCAUUGAGCACAAAGUGAUGAUCAUUUCGUCACACUACCUACAGCAACUAACUCUUGGCAUGCGGUUUUAGCGCAAGUCAGUUUUUUUAGACGCUUAAAAUUUAUUGUCUAACAUUCAUGAAUUUUCGUGCAAUUGCUGGCUCUUGGGUUGCAGUAUCAUGAUCCGAUUUGAAUGGGACAAUCUAAGUGGGUUUGAGCCUACAAUAUCAACAUUGAGUUCUUGGUUUGAACCAUCAAGAAUCAAGCAUAAUUGAAACUAGUUUUAAGGCACAUCCAACAUAUGUGCAGUUAAAAAUAAUUAUUAAUUUUUAUGAAUAUAUUAAUUUUAUUUUUUACAAAAUUAAAUUUCAUAUAAAUUCUUUAAAAAAAAUUUACAAUUUUUGUCAGUAAUAUUUUCUUUAACGCAAUUAUAGUUAAUUUGGUAGUUACGGGAGAUUAUUUUAGCAAAUGCGAUUAGGUGGUUAAGAUAAAAAUUAUUUUUUUAAUGGCAAAAUUUGAAGUUCAAAAAAUGGCACAAAAUGUUCGUCUCAAUUGACACCUCUCUUCCUUUAUUAUUGUGUAGAUUUGAGCCUACAAUAGUUCAAUAUUGGGUUCUUGGUUUGAACCAUCAAAAUCAAGCAUAAUUGAAAUGUUUGUACGUAGUAAAAUUAUGAGGAAUGGCAGGAAACUUGUGAAAUAACAAACCUACGGGAAAAUUCUACUUUUCGUCCCCAAACCUUGGGCUAGAUAUAUAUUUUAUUCCCAAACUUUGUGGUACAACACAUUUAGUACAUGAAUUAUCAAUUUCUAAACAUAUUUAGUCCAAAAACAACAAAUUGAUCAAUUUAGACAAAAAAAAAAUGGCCACAUGACCUUGUCAAUACAGUUCUUUAUUGGUAAAAAUGACGACAAUUUGUCCAAAUUAGCUUGUUAAUACAGUUCUUUAUAUCUACAAUGCUUUUGGUGAUUAAUUGAGUCACCUUUUUAUAUGCACGGCACAAGUAAAUUGACCAACUAAGGAAUUUUCAUUACUAGAUUUUGCAGAAUAUACAGUGCACAGUAGGGUUAGUUUUUGAUAAAAUAGAGGAAAGGUAUAAAUAGUUGAUAGUUUUUUUGUUUCUUUAUCUUGUACAGAAACUAUCAGCUGUAUAUAAUUUUUCUUUUUAUCUUGUCCAGAAACUACCACCUCUUUAUAGCUUCUUUUUUAUGUUCUCUAGAAACGGAAAAGAUACUAACUGUUUAUGGGAUUCGUUGUGGGUUUCUUCUAUUCUCCAUAAAUUACCGUUAGUUAUUGGCUUUCCUCCAUAUAUAGGUUAAAGAUAUUUUUGUUAUAUUUGUUAACAUGCUAAUGAAAGAGAAUUUUGGCUAUAUUUUUAACAUAAAUUUAUUUUAGGCAAACAAUAUUUUUCUAAUAGUUUUCUAAUGAAGCCAAUAAAAGCUGGUAGUAUCUUUUUUGGAAUUUUUUUUUCCCUUAAUGGUCGCGUGCUUGUCACAUGACCCUUUUUUUUUUUUGUCUAAAUUGAUCAAUUUGCCAUUUCUAGACUAAAUGUGUCCUGAAAUUGGUAAUUCAUGUAUUACAUAUUUAAAUGUGUUGCACCACAAAUUUUGAUAACGAAAUGUGUCCUUAAUCCAAAGUCUGGGAUGAAAAGUGGAAUUUCCCCCAAAUCUGCUGGUCCUGCUAUGAGUAGUGGACAUUGAGAUAAACACUAGCAUAGACAUUGUAAUUGGGACAAGAUUUGUUGCUUCUGUAUAUAUUUUUAUGCUUUGUUUUUUUUUUUCUUUAAUUUUUUAAGGUGGCUAUAUGUCCUCCAUUACAAAAUUGUAAUGCCAUAAAACUAGGCAAGAUCAGGAAUACAAAUAAUAAUGGCAUUCCACAAUUCUUUUAUAUAUGGAGAUGAAUAUGCGUGCACUUUUUAUAGUUUCAACAAAACUGUAGAAUAAUUUUAGUGUAUCAAUUUAAAGCGCAUUAUACAUAAAUUGACUUAGAAGUAAUUCUCACUUAGAAUAUUUCCUUUUCAAUUAUUAUACAUUCGUUUGGCCAGUUUUUGUUCUCUACCAACUCAGUACGUUCUCCGUGGUUAAAGCCUAAACCACAUAAUUCACUAAUGUGCUUCAAAGUAAAGAAUAAAGCAUUAUGGUUGUUGAUAUAGUGGUUUUUUUUUUUUUUUUUUGUUGCAUAGUCUAUACUCCAUGGGUUACUGGUACAUUAAAUUAUUCAAGAAUACCAAAAAAUAUUCCCAACCCUUAUCUUUUUCCAUCCUAACAUGGCAAAAUGACAGAGUUUAGAGAACACUCUUUUUCCCUUUUUUGUAGGGUAGCAAAGAACCUCAGCUUCAACUCUCAUCACCUUACUCAAUUCUACACACACACACACACUCUCUCUCUCUCUCACACAUUUGAGGCGAAAUGUAGGAAAUCACCAAGAAGCAAAAUCUAAAAGCUACUCCCUCCGUCCCACUUUGAUAGUCCUGUUUUUUUUUUCACACAAUUUAAGAAAAAGUAGUUAACUUUGUUGGAAAAGUAAAUUUAGAUUGCUAUUUUUCUAAAAUACCCUCACAUUAAAUAUGGUACAACUUUAUUGGAACUUGAAUUGAUGGUAAAAAAAGAAUCAGCUCUCAUUAAAUGGGUUAGGUUUAUAGUAACAACUACUUACAUUGAAUAAGGGUAUUUUAGAAAAAUUAAAAUACAACUACAUUCUUCAAUUGGAAGGUGUGCUAUAAUUUGGGACAGAUGAAAAAUGAAUACAAUUGAAAUUUAAUUUGGGUUUUUGUACAAAACUAUUUAUGUAAUUCAUGCCCUUUAUGGUCUCAAAGAUCCAAGGGAUUUGUUGUGUUUGAUAAGUGUUGGUUUCUGUUUGUUCUUGAUGCUUGUGUUUCAAUUGGAUAUUAUGCACCGUUCUCUAGGAGACAGACGAAACAAAAUUUGAUUGGAGUCGAACACUGCUGUCGAUUGUGUUAGAUAGUGAUUUGCAAGUGACAUGUUAUCAAUUGUGUUGGUUAGUGAUUUAUACAAGUGCCUUAUAAUUUCAUCAACGUACCUUGCCUUGUAAGAAUAACUAGAAUUGAAUCCAUUCAAAUUUUUUAUUUCGAAAAAAAGAUACCAUGUUCGAAUACUGAAAUAUUUUCUAUCUUUGGUUUCAUUUGUAAAUUAUUUAUAAAAUAUCUAAUAAGUGUAUAUCCUGACUUGUAAGAAUAACUAGAAUCGAAUCCAUUCAAAUUUUUUAUUAAGUAAAAAAAAAUGCCAUGUUUGAAUACCGAAACAUCUUCGAUCUUUGGUUUCAUUUGUAAAUCAUUUAUGGAAUAUUUAAUAAGAAUAUUUUGACGUCCGGUGGGUUUUGCGUGGACGUUUCUUCGAAGAUUCUGAUGGAUGGAAUGAAGUUUUUCGAUAAGAAUAACGCUCGGGUUGUUCGAUUUGAAAACACGCAUUCCCACAGAUACGAUAAUUGACUUGUCAACUCUCUGGGUGACUCGAUCCAUGUGCCAACAAACAACCCUUUUUCUGGAUCUUAUUCUUGAAAGUUGACUUCAAAGGGUAGCUUCUGACCUUUUUCAAAUAUUAAACAAUUACUAUAUGGUAGUUAUAACGACCUUGGUCCAAGUCAGCCCCCCAAGCUUAUAAAGGCCGUUAAUUCGGACCUCGUUAUUGCAUAAGUUGGAAACCCGACCCGAAAGGCAAAUAGUUGUCCUGGAUCCAAUCUCAUCUGUCCAAAGGAUUUUGUGACCCAAUCUUGAACAUUUUUGUCAGUCAUGGCAUAUUGAGACCCGCUGUGAAUGUAUGAAGAUCCAUUUUAUGUAGAUUGGAUAUCUUUCUUUCUUUUUUUUUUUUUUUUCUGACGCAGGAGGUAUUCGCGCUUUUACGGUUCGAGAGGAGAGGUCCCAUCCUCCGGAAUACAUUAAUCCUGGUUCUCGAACCCUUGUGGAGAUAAUGAAUAACGUAUUCGGAGGAGGGAACGUGACCAAUCGACCUAUCCAGGAGGCGCUGUAGAUUGGAUAUUUUCAACCAGUCACAAAUAUAUUUAUUUGAAAAUUGGUGGUAAAGAUCCCACUUAAUUAGUAGAAAUGUUAAUUACAUGACCGUUUUGUCACUGUUUCGAUUCUCGAGCCCUUCUUUAUCUUUUUUUUUUUCUUUUCUUUGUAAAGUUCAGAAUUUCCUUGAAUCUAAAAGGAAAAAAGGCACAGUAAAUUGGACUCUACCUUACCCAAAUUUACACGUCUCCAUGCUCGUGGCACAAAUCAACUCACAUAGGUAAAAAGAAGGAAAUUUACGUGAUUUUGUGCAUUACAUAGCAUUGCCAGAUGGUAUACGUGGACUAACAGGAAUUCUAUAUCAAUUUACCAUACAGUUGAUAGUUUGUACAAGUCUGAUUAAUUUUAUUAUGUUUUUUCAUAAGUUACUGUCUUAUUUGUGUAUAUUUGUCACACGUUACAUUCCAUUUGAAUUGCAAGUAUUUUACUAGAAAAUUUAAAAUAUUCUUUUAACGUAUUUUUAAUUAUUUUUUUAUUAUACGUACAUCACAUUACCAAAUCCGUUUGAAUCGUCACUUUUUAGAAAAAAUAAACAAAAAUAUUCUCUUUACAUAUUCUUCUAUUGUCUUUCCUUAUUUUGCAUACAACACAAAACAUACAGUAUAUUUUUUACAAAAAAAACUUUUGAAAAAUUGCGAGAUCCCGUUUGAAUUGCAACUUUUCAAAUUUUUUCUCCCGAAAACUCCAAUGCAAACAGAUAUAAUAGAUUAUCUAUUUUGGUAAAUUGAUUAUCAUCACAUGCAAAUGUUUGUGGGGCAAAAUCUGUGUCUCAACCCCCACUUAUUUUUCGGUGAUUUGGGAAUAGAGCGUAAAUGAGAGGUAACCUUCCUAUUUAUCCCCAAAAAAAAAAAAAGAAAAAAAUUUGUCCCAACCCCCAACCACCCUUCGGUAUAGGUCCGCCCUCAAGUUCAAACGGGGACGUCUUGCCUUAAAGGCAUUGGUUGGUCCAAGUCAGCCACUCAAAUAGAGUAAGUAAUAAACCAUUGCUCCAUAAUUUCCAUUAAAUUUCUCAUCCUAGUACUAUUUAAUCCCUCCUUCCCGGCUCUUCUCCUCGGGCCUGUACAGAAAUGACGAGCGAAGUCGCGAGCCGGCUGGAGCCAUGGCACGAGCUGAGGGGCAAAGUGGUGAUGGUAACCGGCGCGUCGUCCGGACUUGGGAAAGAUUUCUGUCUGGACUUGGCUAAAGCCGGUUGCAAAAUCAUUGCGGCCGCUCGCAGAAUCGACCGGCUUGAGACGCUCUGUGAUGAGAUCAACCGAAUGAGUUUCAAUUCCGACGAGUCGGG